rnacentral:lncRNA from 1 species
ACCUUGAAUUGUUUUGGGCUCGACAGAACCAAAUAUAUGGAAGCAUCCCAUCUGGGAUAGGGCACCUGGUGAGCUUGGAAUCGUUGCAUUGGGGGGAUAAUAGCUUCACAGGUAACAUCCCCUCUGACAUGGGUAAGCUUUCAAACCUUGGAGAAUUAGAAAUUUACACGAACACAUUAUCAGGAAAUAUUCCGUCUUCCUUAAGCAAUUUAACCAAGUUAUACGAUCUUGAUUUGGAUGGAAAUUAUCUUGAGGGCAGCAUUCCUUCAGGUCUAGGGAAAUGCCAUGGGUUGCAAGCGUUGUUUCUUUCUUACAACCUUCUUAAUGGCACAAUACCCAAACAAGUUUUAGGACUCUCCUCCUUAUCGAUUGCUUUGGACUUGUCUAAUAACCUCUUCACAGGUUCCCUUCCCCCGGAGGUUGGGAAUUGCCAUGGUCUAAAUGAACUGUAUCUUUCUGAUAACAUGUUAUCUGGAGAACUCCCCAGUAGCCUUGGUGGUUGUGAGAGUUUAGAAGUCCUGCAUUUGCAAGGAAACUUCUUCAACGGGUCCAUUCCUUUGUCUAUGAGUUCAAUGAGAGGGAUUCGAGAUCUAGACCUUUCUCGCAAUAAUUUUUCAGGUGAAAUUCCACAAUUUUUAGAAGGCUUUAGAAUCCUGAAUAAUCUGAACUUAUCAUUCAAUCAAUUUUGGGGAGUGGUACCAACUGGAGGUGUUUUCAAAAAUGCAACUGCUAUUUCAGUUGUUGGCAACACUAAUCUAUGCAGCCCUGUUGCUAAUUUAAAGCUUCCCAAGUGCAAGUCUAAAGAGACCAAGAAACGAAGAUUGUCUCGUAGCUUGAAACUAAUAGUCCUUUUAGUAUUUGGACUUACUCUUCUAGGAAUAGCCAUGGUGUUCUCCUAUUUCUUUCUUUGUUCGUCAAGGAAGAAAAGGAAAGAAAUUUCAUUGAGCACUUUGGGGAACACUAUUCUGCAAGUGUCAUAUGCUACUCUACUCAAAGCUACUGACGGGUUCUCAGAGGCUAAUUUAAUUGGUGUUGGUAGCUUUGGGUCUGUGUACAAAGGAGUUCUUGAUGAGGAUGAUAAAGCUCAACUUGUUGCCGUGAAGGUGUUUAACUUGUUACGCCAUGGAGCUUCGAGGAGUUUCAUAGCCGAAUGUGAAGCUUUGAGAAAUAUUAGGCACCGAAAUCGUCCAGAUUAUAACCGUGUGUUCAAGUGUUGAUUUUCAUGGUAAUGAUUUCAAGGCUCUAGUUUAUGAGUUCAUGGACAACGGGAGCUUAGAGGAGUGGCUGCAUCCACCUACUGGAACUGAGGAGUUAAGAGAUCAUGUACCCAAGAAGUUAAGUCUACUUCAGAGGCUAGAAAUUGCCAUUGGUGUUGCUUGUGCACUGGAUUAUCUUCAUAAUCAUUGUGAAACGCCAAUAGUUCAUUGUGAUCUCAAACCAAGCAACGUUCUCUUGGACAACGAAUUGACUGGCCAUGUUUCUGACUUUGGAUUAGCAAGGUUUCUAUCACAAGUAACAAGUAAUGUUUCAGCAAUUCAGAGUCAGACAAGUUCCGUUGGAAUAAGAGGAACGGUUGGUUAUGCGGCUCCAGGUAUAUGUUAGAUAUAUACUUCAUUAUAUUUCCUUUUUUUAUUUUGGGGUAUUUAAUUUACAAAAUUCAAACUGAACUAUUUAUACACAAAUGUGAUGUAUGAAUUGUAGAGUAUGGCAUGGGGAGUGAGGUGUCAACGAAUGGUGAUGUCUAUAGCUUUGGCAUUCUCUUGUUGGAGAUGUUUACAGGGAAGAGACCCACAGACAACAUGUUUGGUGACAGCUUGAACCUUCAUAAUUUUGUCAAGAUAGCUCUCCCCGAGCGAGUUACUGAGAUUGCAGAUGCACCACUUCUUCAAGGAGGCACGAACGAGAAUCCAAAUCAAUGCAAUGCGAGAAUUCAUAAAGUUGAGGUGUGCUUGAGUUCAAUAUUUAGAAUUGGAAUUGUUUGUUCUGCUGAAUCCGCAACAGAUAGACUAAAGAAUAUCAAUGAUGCGGCAUCUGAACUUCAUUCCAUUAGGAAUACUUUUCUUGUAUAGAAACUUUAUUUUUAUGUGCUUUUGUGAUAGCGAAAUUUCGUGUACUGCCUGCCUGUGAAAUCUAGCUUUUUUGUUACCACGGUUGAUGUGGAAGUAUGCAAUGUAAAUAAUCACCAAUGAGGUUCAUUGUGUGAAGAGUGUAUUACUACUUGUACUUGGUAUUUUUGUGUAAUAUUCACAUCGAUUAAAGUCUAGUUCGUGCCAAAAUAUUGUUGAAUAUUCACAUUGACAGAUUCUAAAUUUUCGAAAGAUACAUAACCUCAAGACCCUCUACGUACAUUCAAUAAAAUCAUCUUGGAUUCUGCAAGGGAAUUCCUAAUCUCAAGCUGCCCAAUUGCAAGUCUAAAGAGUUCCAAGAAAAGAAGAUUAGCUCAUAGCUUGAAAUUAAUAAUCCCUUUAGUAUUCAGACUUGCUCUGCUUUGCAAGUGUCAUAUGCUACUUUCUCAAAGGCCACUGAUGAGUUUUCUUUAGGUAAUUUGACUGGUGUUGGCAAUUUCGAGUUUGUAUACAAAGGGUUCUUUAUACUGACAAUAGAGCUCGGCUUGUACUUGUAGCUAUGAAGGUGUUUUAACUUGUUACGUCACGGAGCAUCAAAGAGUCUCAUAGCCAAAUAUGAGGCUUUGAGAAAUAUCAAGCAUCAAAAUCUCUUCAAGGUCAUAUCUGCAUGUUUUCUCGAUGAUGAUUUCAAGGCUCUAGUUUAUAAGAUGAUGCACCAAAGGAGCUUAGAGGAGUGGUUGCAUCCCCCUCCUGUAAUUGAAGAGGUAAGAGUCAAUACAUCCAAGAUAUUGUUAUUGGUGUUGCUAUUAUGCACUGGAUUAUUUUCAUAACCAUAGCGAAACACCGAUAGUUCAUUGUGAUCUAAAGCCAAGCAAUGUUCUCCUAAACCUCAAGUUGAUUGAACAUGUUUAUUGAAAAUGGACUAAUCUCACCGUUACUCAUAUGAACCCCUCCAUAUAAGUGAAGUGAAUUGGGUUCAAGUUAGUUGGUAUGGUUAAUAGGGUUUGCAAAUGGCCAUUUCAACUUUAAAGCCCAUGGGGGUUUGCAAGACGAUGAGGGAUACGAUUGAGGCGAGAUUGUCUAUGUCGUUCUCACGAGGUGGUUUGCGAGACGGAGGAGGAAAGUAGGGUUUGAGAAGGCAUUGUCAAUCUGUCAGUCCCUCUGUCCCCCUCAUCACCUCCUCUCCUCGCGCCCCCCCAACAAAAAACAACCCAGCAACCCUAUGACCGAUGGCACACCCACCUGCACGUCUUUGCCUAAAAUCCUCUCCCAUAAAUCCCGGCGAACCUCUCCCUCUAACCCGUCAACCCUUCAACCACGUGUGCGCCAUUGAAAUCAGAUUCCCUCAGAUCCGCUCUUCAGCAUCAGUCAGUUUACAUUGAUGUGAAAAUGCAGAUACUAAUUGACAAAAUUAGUCUUGUUCUUUUCAAACCAAAUACAUUAGCUUUAGCAGAUCGUUCAUUGUGGAGGGCAGCAGACAAAUGCAACAAAGGAAAACUACAAUUUGUGGAAAGAAAAAAAUUAAUAAAAACAAAAAUUUUAAGGAAAAAAAAAUUGAAGUUUUUUUUCUCAUGUGAGGAACCAUACCAGUUUUUUUUUCUCUCUAAGCUAAAAGUUCGGACUUCCACUUUUCAACUGAGGAUAAAAUAACAGAGAAAACGCACAAAAUAAAAGGCCUAAUUCCAAAUUAUUUAAAGGAACAUAAAAAAAAAAAAUUUGAAUCAAAAUGAAGAAAAAAGUUCAACAAUAACAACAACAACAAAACCUUUUCCCACUAAGUGGGGUCGGCUAUAUGAAUCCUAAAACGCCAUUGCGCUCGGUUUUGUGUCAUGUCCUCCGUUACAUCCAAGUACUCUAAGUCUUUUCUUAGGGUCUCUUCCAAAGUUUUCCUAGGUCUUCCUCUACCCCUUCGGCCCUGAACAUCUGUCCCGUAAUCACAUCUUCGAACCGGAGCGUCAGUAGGCCAUAUUUGCACAUGUCCAAACCAUCGUAACCGAUUUUCUCUCAUCUUUCCUUCAAUUUCGGCUACUCCUACUUUACCUCGGAUAUCCUCAUUCCCAAUCUUAUCCUUUCUCGUGUGCCCACACAUCCCACGAAGCAUCCUCAUCUCCGCUACACCCAGUUUGUGUACGUGUUGAUGCUUCACCGCCCAACAUUCUGUGCCAUACAACAUCGCUAGCCUUAUUGCCGUCCUAUAAAAUUUUCCCUUGAGCUUCAGUGGCCUACGACGGUCACACAACACUCUGAAUGCAUUCUUACACUUCAUCCAUCCGGCUUGUAUUCUAUGGUUGAGAUCUCCAUCUAAUUCUCCGUUCUCUUGCAAGAUAGAUCCUAGGUAGCGAAAACUGUCGCUUUUUGUGAUCUUCGCUAGAUUGCUCCGGUCAUUAGUGUGGAUAAGUAUAUAAAUGGAUAGAGAUAGGAAAGCAAACACAAGAUGUACGUGGUUCACCCAGAUUGGCUACAUCUACGGAAUAGAGGAGUUCUCAUUAAUUGUGAAGGGUUUACACAAGUACAUAGGUUCAAGCUCUCCUUUAGUGAGUACAAGUGAAUGAUUUAGUACAAAUGACAUUAGGAAAUGUUGUGGGAGAAUGAUCUCGUAAUCACGAAACUUCUAAGUACCGGAGUGUGGUAUCUUCUUGACUUGCUUUAUCUGUCUCAUAGGUAGAUGUGGCAUCUUCUCUGGAAGUACUCUUCCUCCAUCCAGGGGUGGUAUCUUUAACUGGUGGAGAUGCACAAGGUAAUGUAUCAAUUUCACUUGAAGCUUACUUGUAGUUUCAGGCUUGGUCAAGCGCGAUACAAGGUAAGCAAUCAGAGCUCUGGCUGAUUGUUCACAUUCUCCCUAUCUUGCAGGCAGCAUGAAGGAUAAAGAGAAGAAAAAUGAGAAGAGAUGAUAUGAGAUACUUUUGCUUUUGAAGAAGUAACUUUCCACAAGCUUAUUCUUGAACUGGCUUGAGGGUUUUCUGGUUUCCUCCAGAGUAUAAGGCCGACUGAAGAAUUUGAGGGUCAAAACAAGUCCAUCAAAUCUAGAGUACGUUCGACCCUGUUGAUAUGGGAUACUUUUGCUUUUGACAGAGUAGUGGAUGUAUCGGCACGUGUGCUGUUACGCUUGUCUCCACAUGCUUCCUUGUAUCCUUCUCACUUGCCCUAUCUGUUCCUCAGGCAAAUGCAAUAUCUUCCCAAGAAGCAUAAGAUGUUGAAGAUGAGUACUCGAGAGUAAUGCCAGGUAAGUAAUCAGGUAAGGGGUUCCAGGCAGUCAGUUCCUGGCUGGAAGCUUGAUUCCAAGUGCUGACUGAUUGCUCUCUUUCUCCUUGUCUUGCAGGUAAGAACAAGGCCAAAGGAAAAGACAGGGAAAAAGCAUGAUAUGGGAUACUCUUGCUUUUAACCCUGAUGAUAUGAGAUAUUCUUGCUCUAGUAUAGCUUGUUUGCAGAGGUAUUAUCGGGGGGAAAGAAAGCUGAAUAUUUUGAAAGGCUUUGUUGGGAGUGCCCUCUUAGAUAUGAGGAAGGGUUGAGCAUUUUUGCAGGUCUGCCUGUCCGUUAGGGAUGGAGGUCGACAUAUAUAGGAGUCUCCCUAACAACAAGUAGUAAUGUUAUUCUUUUACCCUGCUUGGUCAUAGCACGGUAGUGGGAGCUGCCAGCUUCACAUGUUUUAACUCUAUCAGAGCACUUUGAAAAAGUGGUCUGUGGUAUCUGAAAAGCUAAUGUUGCGUGUGAAGAUUACAGACAAGCUUUAUUCAAGGAGAUCCGGCUCUUGAAGUUGGGAAAGUGGUGCCUCUUCGGUUUUCGAACAAGCAAUCUUGUCGGGGAUCUGGCUCUCGAGAUUCGGAGAACGAUGCCUCUUCAAUUUUUGAGAAAGCAAUCCUGCUAGGGGUCUGGCUCUCGAGAUUCGGAGAGCGGUGUCUCUUCGAUUUUUAAGAAAGUAAUCAUGUUGGGAGUCUGGCUCUCGAGAUUCGAAGGGCGAUGCCUCUUCGAUUUUGGAGCAAGCAAUCUUGUUGGGAGUGUUUUCUCGAAUGUGAGUAAAGGUUGGGCAUGUUUGCUGGUCUACCUUGCCACGAAGCACAGAGGUUGACACACAGAGACUUUCCAAUUAUCCAGCAGUGGUACUGUUCCUUUACCCUUAUGGGUAAUAAUAUAGUAACUAGACCUUCAAAAUUUAUGUGUCUAAACUUUGUUAGUGCUGUUUCUUUGCUAUUCUUUUACCCUUCUUGUUCAGAGCGAUGUAGUGAGAGCUGCAAGUUUCACGUGUCUCAACUUUGUCAGAGAACUUUGGCAAAGUUAUCUGUGGUACCCAUGAGCUACUGUUGCGUGUGGGAAGUGAGUGAUUGAACAAUAAGAUUCAUGUGCUUUCUACUUCACCAGAAAUCUUCGACAGAAUGCCCAUAAUUUCCGCAAAGCUGAGUAUGCGUGUGACAGGUGCUGACAAGGCUGGAAAAGUAGGUGCCUCUUCGAUUUCUGAGAUCGGCCCUCGUGGUCUCUGAGCAGCCCAGCUUUUGAGAAAGCAAGCGCAUCUUCGAUUUCUGAGAUCAGCCUUCGUGGUCUUUGAGCAGCCCAACUUUUGAGAAAGCAAACGCCUCUUCGAUUUCUGAGAUCGACCCUCGUGGUCUCUGAGCAACCCAGCUUUUGAGAAAGCAAACGCCUCUUCGAUUUCUGAGCAGGCGCCUCUUCGAUUUCUGAAGCUCCGUCGAGUGUAGAUUUUUAUAGGGGCUGGCAUUAAGUUCCAAAGCACACUUGAAUCUCCACCAGUAGAAGCUCCAUUCUUGCACUUCUAAGAUCUUGAUUUGUCCGACCUCUUCUCUCUUCAACACCUUUGAAAAUGUCUGGCCCCUCCGACCGUCGUUUUAACUUGAACCUUGUUGAAGAGGCAGCCCCGCCUUCUCCAGACAACAUAUGGCGCCCAUCCUUCGUCUCCCCUACUGGUCCUCUUACCGUUGGGGAUUCUGUGAUGAAGAAUGAUAUGACCGCUGCGGUGGUGGCCAGGAGCCUUCUCACUCCCAAAGAUAACAUACUACUUUCCAAACGGUCUGAUGAGUUGGCUGUUAAGGAUUCUCUGGCUCUCAGUGUUCAGUGUGCAGGUUCUGUGUCUAAUAUGGCCCAACGCCUAUUUGCUCGAACCUGCCAAGUUGAAUCAUUGGCGGUUGAAGUGAUGAGUCUCAAACAGGAGAUUAAAGGGCUCAGACAUGAGAAUAAACAGUUGCACCGACUCGCACAUAACUAUGCUACAAACAUGAAGAGGAAGCUUGACCAGAUGAAGGAAUCUGAUGGUCAGGUUGUACUUGAUCAUCAGAGAUUUGUGGGUUUGUUCCAAAGACAUUUAUUGUCUUCGUCUUCUGAGGCUGUACCGCGUAAUGAAGCUCCAAAUGAUCAACCUCUGAUGCCUCCUCCUUCUAGGGUUCUGUCCAGUACUGAGGCUCCGAAUGAUCCCCCUCUGGUGCCUUCUCUUUCUAGGGCUCUACCGACUGCUGAAACUUCUCCUAAGCAACCUUUGUGAAGGCUCUCUCUUGUUUGUUUAUUUUGACUCAUGUAUAUGUACAUAUUUGUAACUUAUCGGGAAUAUCAAUAAAUAAGCUUUCCUUCAUUUCAACGUAUUGUGUUAAAUACACCAAAGCCUUCUUCGCUAAGUUCUUUGAAUUUUCUUUUAUUGAAGCUUGUAAGUUGAAGCUUUGUGAGUAGAGCAUGUAGGUUGAGGUAGUGUUCCCUUAAUUUCCCGAGUGAGGAAAAUUUCUCGGUUGGAGACUUGGAAAAUCCAAGUCAAUGAGUGGGAUCGGCUAUAUGAAUCUUAGAACGCCAUUGUGCUCGGUCCUGUGUCAUGUCCUCCGUUAGAUCCAAGUACUUUAAGUCUUUUCUUAGAGUCUCUUCCAAAGUUUUCCUAGGUCUUUCUCUACCCCUUCGGCCCUGAACCUUUGUCCCAUAGUCGCAUCUUCUAAUCGGAGCGUCAGUAGGCCUUCUUUGCACAUGUCCAAACCACAGUAACCGAUUUUCUCUCAUCUUUCCUUCAAUUUCGGCUACUCCUACUUUACCCCGGAUAUCCUCAUUCCUAAUCUUAUCCUUUCUCGUGUGCCCACACAUCCAACGAAGCAUCCUCAUCUCCGCUACACCCAUUUUGUGUACGUGUUGAUGCUUCACCGCCCAACAUUUUGUGACAUACAGCAUCACCGGCCUUAUUGCCGUCUUAUAAAAUUUUCCCUUGAGCUUCAGUGGCAUACGGCGGUCACACAACACGCCGGAUGCACUCUUCUACUUCAUCCAUCCAGCUUGUAUUAUAUGGUUGAGAUCUCCAUCUAAUUCUCCGUUCUUUUGCAAGAUAGAUCCUAGGUAACGAAAACGGUCGCUCUUUGGUAUUUCUUGAUCUCCGAUCCUCACCCCUAACUCGUUUUGGCCUCCAUUUGCACUGAAUUUGCACUCUAUAUAUUCUGUCUUUGAUCGGCUUAGGCGAAGACCUUUAGAUUCCAACACUUCUCUCCAAAGGUUAAGCUUUGCAUUUACCCCUUCCUGAGUUUCAUCUAUCAACACUAUAUCGUCUGCGAAAAGCAUACACCAAGGAAUAUCAUCUUGAAUAUGUCAUGUUAACUCAUCCAUUAUCAACGCAAAAAGGUAAGAACUUAAUGAUGAGCCUUGAUGUAAUCCUACAGUUAUGGGAAAGCUUUCGGUUUGUCCUUCAUGAGUUCUUACGGCAGUCUUUGCUCCUUCAUACAUAUCCUUUAUAGCUUGGAUAUAUGCUACUCGUACUCCUUUCUUCUCUAAGAUCCUCCAAAGAAUGUCUCUUGGGACCCUAUCAUACGCUUUUUCCAAAUCUAUAAAGACCAUGUGUAAAUCCUUUUUCCCAUCUCUAUAUCUUUCCAUCAAUCUUCGUAAGAGAUAGAUUACCUCCAUGGUUGAGCGCCCUGGCAUGAACCCGAAUUGGUUGUUCGAAACCCGUGUCUCUUACCUCAAUCUAUGCUCAAUGACUCUCUCCCAAAGCUUCAUUGUAUGACUCAUUAGCUUAAUACCCCUAUAGUUCAUGCAAUUUUGUACGUCGCCCUUAUUCUUGUAGAUAGGCACCAAAAUGCUCGUUCGCCACUCAUUUGGCAUCUUCUUCGUUUUCAAAAUCCUAUUGAAAAGGUCAGUGAGCCAUGUUAUACCUGUCUCUUCCAAAACUUUCCACACUUCGAUUGGUAACUGAAGAAAAAAGUUCAAAUUAAGAAAAUCCUAGUAAGUGGAAAAGGUUAUGGUGAGUGAUUAUUUACCUUGAAAACUCACAUAAUUUGGAGUGGAUCAUCAACAAUCUCUGGAGUCAUCGAGUGGCAGCAUCAGCUUCACAUCCAACAGCAGGAAGUAGCUCUAUAUUCUUGUAUAAAAGAGUGUGCUCAUCUGGGUUAGCAAGAGUAGGGCAUUGAGUCUGCCAAUUGAAAACCUUAACCUCCCACUCCCUGUAAGCUGCAGGUACAACAUUCUCGGGAAGUUCUAUUGGGCACCCUUCCCUUGUUAAGUCUGCUCCAUAGCCAUCCCAUUCACCGGACACAUUCCCGAAAUAAUCGCGGUUAUCCAUUCUUUAUAACUGUUGACCAACCGUACACAUAAACGACUAAUUGUAACAUGAGUUUACGAAAAGAACAUUCAAAUUAAUACAAAAUGCAAGUUUUAAACUUUUGAUUUCGGUAAAUAUUCACAGUUUUCAUAUGUACGCAAGCCAUGUGCUUGUGUAAAAGCUCUUACAGGGUACUUUCUCACGAAUGACCUAAAGCAUAUGUGUAUUUUCAUCUUGUUCUUCAGAUUUCAGGAAGCUGAGGAUGACUGCACAAAGGCCUUGAAUUUGGAUGAUCGUUAUAUAAAAGCAUACUCACGACGUGCAACGGCUAGAAAAGGACUUGGAAAGCUUAAAGAAUCUUUUGAAUGACCCGAUGCAAGAACCCGAUAACCCGUCCCAGCAAGACUAGACAUUUUAGAACUGACUGCACAAUGAAAGGCCUUCCCUGUGUGUCCUGAGCAGAAUGGAGUGAGUGGUGGUGGUUUUGUGGUGAUGCUUCGCCGGAAAAUGGGGGCGUUGGUGCGCUCGGUGUUUACAGAGAAGAGAAAGAGGAAGCUCCAGGGAGCUAGUAGUUGUUUGAUGGAGUUGAGGCUCACCGGAGUUCAUCUACAAACAUGGGAACCAGCAUAAACAUUUCGAAAAUCGACAUUUCUAUUCGGAAUGAUUGUUCGUGGUAGGAAUUUUCGUCGGGGAUGACUUCCUGGCCGACAAGCACACAGCUUCCGUGGAGGUUGGCGCCGGUUGAGGGCUGCUGUCGGGCUUCUGCUUCGUUGUCGGGCGUUGUCGGGCAAGACUCUUCGGGCAAGACUCUGCGGGCAAGGCUGAAAGAGAAGGACAACGUUAACUUUGAAAGGUGUCUUUGUGGGGCCUUAGGUGUAGGCAUUGAGGCUCACAAUCAAGGUUAACAUUUAGGUGCUCAGGCGUGCCACUGCCAUCUUAGCAUGGCAGAUGUCGAAUGGAUAUCAAGUUUUAGUUGUGAAUAUGCAUAUGCCCGAGAAACCGUGUUAGAUAUAACAGGUGCCUUUGUGGGGCCUUAGGUGUAGGCCUUGAGGCUUCCUGUCAAACUAAACCAGUACUUGAACAUAUCAUAUUUGGUCUUUAUGGUUGUUGAAGUCUUAUAACUAUUAUACUUCUGAUUACCCGAAUCUGAGAGGUAGAACGAACCCAAAUAGGUGCCUUUGUGGGGCCUUAGGUGUAGGCCUUGAGGCUUCCCAUUAGAGUCCGUUCUUAUACUCAAACCAUCUAGAUCGCAAAAUAGAAUGAAUCCAAAUAAGUGCCUUUGUGGGGCCUUAGGUGUAGGCCUUGAGGCUUCCUAUCAGAAUCCAUUCCAUACUUAAGCGUUCUAUGAUAAUCAUGAUAUAAUAGAAAGAAAACUAGAAGGUAGGUCGAUUACUUGCGCCCCAAGUAACUUCGGACUUCUCGUUUAUCAAGGAUUGUCGUGGAUGGGUUAAGUCCACAUAAAGUUCUUUUUUAUGCCUUGAGGCCAAGGACUUUUAAACUAAUCAGAUUUACAUGCCCGCAGACUUAGAACUUUGAUCUGAUUUAAACAUUGAAGAUAUAUUCAAAUCGGAUCCAAGUACUGAGAGAGCUUUGUCAUUGUAAUUUUGCUAAAAACAACUUGCAUAUAACUGGAAAUAUACAACAUAUUGCUAGACUUUAAAGAAAGAGAAGACAAAGACAGAGCAAAGCAGGUCGGGCAAGAUUAAACCUUAUCAAGUAAGGCUGAUCGUCUUGCAGGUCCCUAUCUUUGUAGUUCUGUCAAAGGUCUGAAAGUUUAGAGGGGGAGAGGGGAAAUGAGAAUACAAAAGGUGAAUCGAUACUACAACAAGUUCGAACAAGGUAGCAGAGCUAUUACAGAGGUUGGGAGAGAAAAUUAUCCCGUGGGGGAUGAAGGCUUGGGCUGACUACAACUUCGUUUUGAAAGGCAAAUCUGGCUUUUUGAGCAGAGUUUGUGCUUUUGUUUGUUUGUUUGAGUGUGUUUAUUCCUGUCUUCUCUUCCUCCUUUUAUAGACGACUCGGUUUGGCUCCUGUAGCGACAGCUUUGCCCGAAUGCGGUCUGAAAGUGAUGACUCAUCAGCUUUAUUACAUGUAAUGCCACCAUAAAGUACUUUAUGGGCUGUGUAGUCUGACCAGUCUACACCACUUGAUCCUUGGGUAGGUGGGCAAGUGGCCCUUAUGAAUUGUAUCAAGUUAGAAAAAGGCCCUUUCCUGCUUUCCUCAGUUUCGGCCGGGCUUUGAUCUUCUAUUCCUCCAGACCUCCUUUUGGGCCGACUCCAUCCUUGGGCCAAAAAUCAAGUUUUAAUCCAAACAGUGCCCCCUUCAAUUAAUGUGAAGGUUGGAAUCCCAGGCAUCGACAUUGAUUGAAUACCCGCAUGCAUGCAUACCCGUCCUUGGGAAUUUGUGCUUCUGGUGCCCCUUGCUCUUCUCACGACCCUUGAACUGUCCCUUGGGCCCUAUAAAAUGUAGCUCGGGAUUUCUCCUAUCAAACUACCAAAUCCCCUUUGGCUCUAGCCUUCAACUUCCAUCCAUCUUGAGCGUUCUUGUCUUAGAAACUGAGAAAUGGGUUCCUCAGGUUUUGAGUAGAGUUUCCUAAAACUCCCCUUUCGCGAGAAAAUGAGGUUUCACCUGAUGGUUGCUAUCUCCAACACCCUUGGUCAACCGCCCCUCUAUCUCCAACACCCUUGGUCAGGCGGCUUCCUCUUGAUGGUUUGUCUUCCCGCAAACUGCGGUGAUAAAUCGGGCUUCACCAUCACAUAUGGUGACAGCCCCGUCGGAUGAUCCUCUACCAGGCCCAUGUUGGCCGCAUAACUCGAUCACCCGAUUGGGUUCCAUCCAUGAAGACAUCGGGAAACCAACUGAAGACACCACCAUACUCAGAGAAAAUCAAAUGUAAUACAUAGGAUUGGAACUCUGUAAAUUUCACCAAUUUGUCGACAUGAAAUAAAUACUAUUUUAGCAAUUUCUGUCUUUCUGCCUUCUUUGAAUGUUUGAUGAACAAAAACACUGCAUAUGAGACUCCCGAAGCCUGUUUCACUCUGCCCCCUCUUCAAUGUAACAAUCCCUAACAUCCCAUAAUGUAGGACAAUAUUUUUUUAAGAAUCUAACAUUAAUGGGAUGUUUCUGCCCAUUUCCUUUGAGGUCCGCUAGGUAGUAUCCUCCUUUAUUCAAGACUCGACUAAUAAUGAAAUGACCUUCCCAUGUCGGGCUCCACUUUCCAAAACCCCGAAGCUGAGCUCCCAACGGGAGGACUGUUUUCCAUACUAAAUCUCCCUCUUUGAAAGACUUUACCUUCACCUUCUUGUUAUAAGCUCGGGCAACAGCUAUCUUUCCUUCUUGAAUCUGGUUCAAGGCUUCAAUUCGGGCUGCAUCCAGGUCUUCAAUACCUUGACACAUGGCUUCGAUAUAUUCUGCACUAUGUAACCCAAAUUGGUUCUGAAUUCUUACGGAACUAACGUUGAUCUCCAUGGGGAGCACUGCAUCUUGCCUGAACGUCAAGGCAUAAGGAGUUGUGCCUGUUCCCGCUCUUUUGGAAGUCCUGUAUGCCCACAACGUAUUUCCUAGCAUCUCGUGCCACUUUUCUGGACUAUCUAUCACCAUCCUUUUAAUAAUGUUGACCAGGAUCUUGUUGCUAGCUUCGGCCUGCCUAUUUGACUGAGGGUAGUACGGACUGGAUUGGAUUAUCUUUAUCUUGUACUUGCUUGCAAACUCCUCGACUUCUUUUGAAAUAAAAGAUGGCCCUCGGUCCGUUACUAUAGUCUCAGGCACCCCAUAUCUGUGCAGGAUCUUGGUCUCAAUAAAAUUCUUGACUACGGCGGAAGUUAUGGAUUUGACUGCUGAUGCUUCCACCCACUUGGUAAAGUAAUCCGUUGCCACAAUUAUGAAGGUAUGCCCUUUGCUAGAAGCUGGAUAAAUUUUCCCGAUGAAGUCCAUCACCCAUCCCCGGAACGGCCAAGGCUUGACCACUGGAUUCAAAGGCAAUGAAGGCACGUGUUGGAGAGGUCCAUGCCUCUGACAUUCUUCACAACCGCGGGCAUAAGACUUGCAGUCUUUUUCCAUGUCGGGCCAAAAAUAACCGUACCUUCUGAGUAGCCAUCUCAUCUUCGUCCCUGCUUAAUGUGCUCCACAUAUCCCCUCAUGUACUUCGGCCAUCACUCUCAUGGAUUCCUCCUGGCCUAAGCAUUUUAACAGUAAUCCAUCUGGGGUUUUUCUUAGCAGGUUAUUCGCCCAUAAGACAUAUUUGGUUGCUUGCUGCCUAUUCUUCUUACUUGUAGGUGAAAAAGGGAUCCUUCAAAUGAUGGAUGAUGGGUGCCCUCCAAUCUUCCAUCUUGGUUUCCAGAACCAUUACAUCCAAACUAAAUCCGCUGUCUAAGAUGGAAGGAAGGUUUCUUGUUUGGAUCUCGACUUCUAUUCCAUGCUUUCUUUCCUGUAUUGGCACUCCUGAGGCUAGUUGCGCCAUUUCAUUGGCUGCUAAGUUAGACCCUCUAGGAAUAUGAUUGACUGAUAUCUCAGACUCCCAGAAACUCAACAAUUGUGUUGCUGCCAUAUAGUACCCUGCCAUAGUGAUAUGUCUGCACUUGAACUCGCCAUUUAGCUGGUUUAUCACCAACUUUGAAUCACCAAAGACCUCUACUUCUGCUGCCCCCAAAUCCAACAGGAUUUCUAGACCAAUAAUCAAGGCCUCAUACUCUGCCCGAUUAUUAGUAUUUUCUUGGUAGUCGAGCAGGAAUGAAUAAUAAUGAUACACCCCUUGAGGAUUUAUAAUCACAAUCCCAGCCCCUGCAGCCUUCUGAGUGUGGGAUCCAUCGAAAUACAACUUCCAAGGAGUAAUCCAGAUGCCCGUUACUCUUCUUAUCUCUUGCUGGAUCCAAUCUUCUGUGCCCGAAACAUCACUUCUUGGUGGGAUCCAAACGCUAGUAACCUCCAAACUUCUUGGGAUAUUGAUUACCUCACUUUGAGGUUCUUGAUGCUCGGUCAAGAAGUCAGCAAUUGCCUGGCCUUUGACUGCCCUUUGGGGUACAUAUUGAAAGCUGAAUUCGGAUAGUGCUAGAAUCCACUUCCCAAUCCUUCCUGCUAGCAUAGGUUUUGACAACAUGUACUUUAUCACAUCUGUUUUGGCAAUGAUGUGCACGUGACAAGGUAACAUAUAAUGCCUUAGCUUGCUGGCAGUAAAAUAUAGAGCCAAACACAAUCUCUCCACCGGAGAAUAUCUUGUUUCUACCUCGAUCAAAAUUCUGCUGAGGUAGUAUACGGCCUGCUCCUUUCCACCUUCAUUAUUUUGGGCUAGCAAACUCCCAAUUGAUUUUUCCGAAGAAGAAAUAUACAGCUUCAAGGGCUUUCCCCUUUGAGGUGGUACCAGCACUGGUGGAGAAGUUAGGUAGGCCUUGAUGCUGUUAAAUGCAUGCUGGUGGGUCGGCCCCCACUCGAAAUUCUCUUUAUCUUUCAAUCUUAAUAGAGGAGUUAGCGGCUGGAUUUUGCCCGCUAAAUUGGCAAUGAAUCUCCUCAAGAAGUUGAUCUUGCCUGGUAGCCUUUGAAGCUGCACUUUGUUGGUGGGUGGAGGUGACUCCAAUAUUGCCCGAGACUUGUUUUUGUCCACUUCCACACCUCUCUGAUGCACCAAGAAUCCCAAGAAGUUGCCCGCUUUUACUCCAAAUGCACACUUCUUUGGAUUCAUCUUCAAUUUGUGGAUCCGCAUCCUUAUCAACGCUUGCCUGAGAUCUACUAGAUGGUGCUCUUUUGUUUUAGAUUUCACCACGAUGUCGUCGAUAUAUACCUCCAUGUUCUGGCCAAUUAGAUCAUGAAAAAUGGCAUUCAUUGCCUUUUGAUAUGUUGCGUCAGCAUUCUUAAGCCCGAAUGGCAUGACCAGAUACUCAUAUGCCCCCACAUGACCAGGACACCUAAAAGCUGUUUUAUGAAUAUCAUCUGGAGCCAUCUUUAUCUGAUUAUAUUCGGCAUUUCCAUCCAUAAAAGAUAAAACUUUAUGCUUUGCUACUGCAUCUAUGGAUAAAUCAGCCGUGGGCAUGGGGUACUCAUCCUUUGGUGUAGCACCAUUAAUAUUUCUGUAAUCGACACAACAUCGUACUGCUUUUGUUACAGCUUUUAAAACAGGUACGAUGUUGGCCAACCACUCCACAUAUUUGGCUGGUCUGAUAAAGCCAGCUUUCACUAGCUUCUCAAUCUCUUCUUUGACCUUUUCUUCUAUCUCCUUUGACAUCCUCCGUGGUGCUUGCUUGACCGGUUUAUAUCCUUCCUUGAUGGGCAUUCUAUGUUCCACCAAGGUUAGAUCUAACCCUGGCAUCUCGGUAUAAUGCCAAGCAAAACAGUCAUUGAAUUCUUGCAAAAGACAAAUAAAUUUUGCCCGAUCAUCAACCCCUAACAAACCACUGAUCUGUAUUGGUCUUGGAUCCUCCUCCGUGCCUAGAUCAAUAACUUCCAAAGGAUCCUGAACUUCGGGUGAUGGCUUAUCAGGUUCUGCGCAUAAAAAUUCGACCAACUCUGGGCUCUCGGGCAAGUCGUCUGGCCCAUCUAGAUCAUAUAUGCACUUGGCCAUUUGAAUGGCCCUAUCCAGUUCUUCACUGCAAGAUUCCUCCCCAUUUCCAUGCUGGCUGGUUGAAGCUUCUUCCUGCCAUUCUUGCUCUUCCCGCUCCCUUUCUUGUCUUCUUCCCUUCCCAUAUACCAACAGUCUUUUAAUCAGGGAUCUGACUGCCAUGACCUGAUCUUUCUUCUUUUGUUCAGUCAUUGAUGGUGUAGGGAAUUUGGUAUGAGACAGGGUCUAUCCCACUCCUCCUUAGUAAGGAGCAUUCCUUGUUCCAGAAGAUUUUGGGCCGUCACCUUGGUAGGGCGGCCGUUCUCGUCAGCUCCUGAACACUUCAAGCUUUUGGGCCGUCACCUUGAUAGAAACUUGCUUCUGCCACAUUGGUUGAGGGGAGGAAUGGCCGUGUUUCGGCCUCUACUAUCUCCCAAAAACCUGGUCCUUCAGUACCUGCCUCAUGAUAUACAGCCACUUAUUGAUGAAGAGUGGAAGGUAUAGCUAAACUUUGGUGGAUCCAAUCUCUUCCGAGUAAGGCUCCGUAGGUGGAGGUGCAGUCCACCACAAAGAAUGCCAGCAUUAUCUUUUUGGAUCCUAAGUCCACCUCCAAAGGUAAUAUCCCAUGAGUUUUAGUGAUAGCACCUGAGAAGCUAGAGACCGUAAGGUCCGUGGGAAUAAGAUCUUCCGUACCUCUCCCCAUCUUCCUCAUCUGCUUGGCCGGUAACACGUUAACAGCUGCUCCUCCAUCAAUUAAAAUUCUUUUGAAGGGCACACCUUCUAAGUGAGCUGAAACAUAUAUAGGCUUCAGAUGGUUGGCCAACGAAAUACUCGGGCGGCUGAACACCAUCUCGUCUGUGUAAAUCCUUAGAGGACCACCUUUGGAUGCUUCUGAGGGCUCAGCCUUGCCCGAGUCUUCUUCUUCCGCUAUCUCCACAUUAACUUGUGCCAUCAUUGGCUCCGUUGUUAAGUAAUCACCCUCCAUAGUAGCAGGCUGAUCAGGUCUGGCACCAAACGUGGCGGAUAAUAUAUACGCCAUGUUGAUGUGGAAAUUACUGGGCUCGAGUACAUCCUCCUUCUUGCUCCCGAUUUGGUUCUAUGAAUUCAUCUAACUAGGCCAUCGCGUCGGCUGGAAGCAGUGGUUCUGGUAUCCCUUCUCGUUGUGGUUGAUCCAUGCCCUCGUACAACGUUUGUUUUGGAACUUCACCAAAGGGAUCCACUAAUGGUAGAGAAAGUGGUCUUCUUUCAGAUGCAACAGUUCCCAUGCGAAUAGGCUCCGGCUUCCACCCAGGAGUUGGUACCAUGAUCAGAUCUUCUUGAGCCCUUCUUAAGAUCCUAUACUUCCCAGGAUGUUGGCUCUGCGGCACAUGAUCCCCCACCCCCUCUGCUUUUCUAUUGGCUGUCUCUACCUCCUUCUUAUUUCGCCACCGGAGCUGGCUACUACCUCCAGAUGUUGCUCUUUCCAACUUUUGAUUUUUUGAGGCUUCAGAGGUAGUGGGGGUCUUCAAGGAAUUCAUGUAGGCCUUGUGCUGCCUUUGAUAGGCUGUCCGUUCUUCCCGACCACAUACCAUUUUCGCCCGAGGUGGGCAGGAUUCCCUUUUCUGCCGGGAUUAGUUAUCCCAUCAGUUCUCUUGACUUCCCCCAUUAUCUGGCCAUUCUGAAGAUGAUCUGCACCUCUCUGGAUUUUGGCCUCCAUUUCUGCCUCGUCAGAAGCUUCAUGGUUUCGAAACACUUCUGAUAAAGCCUUGGGCUGGGAAUCACCUCCUAAGCGUUGAAAAACACUUUGAGAGGUAUCCUUCUUUGUUGCCUGCUUAAUCUUUUCGCAGGCUUCUCUUCUUAUAUCUUCUUCCUUCCUCCUGAUUAACUCGUGAUCAAUGAGGACUCCAGCCGAGGGAAUCUCGAGCUCACAUUCACACUGGCAUCUACUACACAUAACCAUCCCCUUGAUUAUGGCAGCCUUUGGAUACUCGGGUCGUUUGGUUAUUCUCUCUGCAGGUUUUUCGGCCAAUCUUUCUUCUUCUUCCCUCGUAAUCUUCCCUUUUCCUUUCUCCGCCCAUGUCAUAUUAAGCAUAUUUAUAUGGGCCCCUGAGAAGGGAAAUGCAGGGUUGAUUACGUCCAUCUUAUAUGGCUGGCUGUUUCUACGUCUUUUUCCUUUGGGAGGAACCACAUCUAUAUCACUUCUAGAGCCUGUGGAGGCUUUCUUCAAUCUUUGCAGCAUUUGAAACAACGUGGUCUGUAAGUCUUCUGGCAUAUCUGUUUCUCUAUCUUCUGAUUAGAGAUCCCACCGGGCGUGCCAAAACUAUGUUCGUGGCAGGAAUUUCCGUCGGGGAUGACUUCCUGGCCGACGAGCACACAGCUCCCCUGGAGGUUGGCGCCGGUUGAGGGCUGCUGUCGGGCUUCUGCUUUGUUGUCGGGCUUUGUCGGGCAAGUCUCGUCGGGCAAGACUCUUCGGGCAAGACUCUUCGGGCAAGACUCUGCGAGCAAGGAUGAAAGAGAAGGACAUCGUUAACUUUGAAAGGUGCCUUUGUGAGGCCUUAGGUGUAGGCCUUGAGGCUCACAAUCAAGGUUAACAUUUAGGUGCUCAGGCGUGCCACUGCCAUCUUAGCAUGGUAGAUGUCGAAUUGAUAUCAAGUUUUAGUUAUGAAUAUGCAUAUGCCCGAGAAACCGUGUUAGAUAUAACAAGUGCCUUUGUGGGGCCUUAGGUGUAGGCCUUGAGGCUUUCUGUCAAACUAAACCAGUACUUGAACAUAUCAUAUUUGGUCUUUAUGGUUGUUGGAGUCUUAUAACUAUUAUACUUCUGAUUACCUGAAUCUGAGAGGUAGAGCGAACCCAAAUAGGUGCCUUUGUGGGGCCUUAGGUGUAGGCCUUGAGGUUUCCCAUUAGAGUCCGUUCUUAUACUCAAACCAUCUAGAUCGCAAAAUAGAAUGAAUUCAAAUAAGUGCCUUUGUGGGGCCUUAGGUGUAGGCCUUGAGGCUUCCUAUCAGAAUCCAUUCCAUACUUAAGCGUUCUAUGAUAAUCAUGAUAUAAUAGAAAGAAAACUAGAAGGUAGGUCGAUUACUUGCGCCCCAAGUAACUUCGGACUUCUCGUUUAUCAAGGAUUGUCGUAGAUGGGUUAAGUCCACAUAAAGUUCUUUUUUAUAACUUGAGGCCAAGGACUUUUAAACUAAUCAAAUUUACAUGCCCGUGGACUUAGAACUUGGAUCUGAUUUAAACAUUGAAGAUAUAUUCAAAUCGGAUCCAAGUACUGAGAGAGCUUUGUCAUUGUAAUUUUGCUAGAAACAACUUGCAUAUAACUGGAAAUAUACAACAUACUGCUAGACUUUAAAGAAAGAGAAGACAAAGACAGAGCAAAGCAGGUCGGGCAAGAUUAAACCUUAUCAAGUAAGGCUGAUCGUCUUGCAGGUCCCUAUCUUUGUAGUUCUAUCAAAGGUCUGAAAGUUUAGAGGGGGAGAGGGGAAAAGAGAAUACAAAAGGUGAAUCGAUACUACAACAAGUUCGAACAAGGUAGCAGAGCUAUUACAGAGGUUGGGAGAGAAAAUUAUCCCGUGGAGGAUGAAGGCUUGGGCUGACUACAGCUUCGUUUUGAAAGGCAAAUCUGGCUUUUUUAGCAGAGUUUGUACUUUUGUUUGUUUGUUUGAGUGUGUUUAUUCCUGUCUUCUCUUCCUCCUUUUAUAGACGACUCGGUUUGGCUCCUGUAGCGACAGCUUUGCCCGAAUGCGGUCUGAAGGUGAUGACUUAUCAGCUUUAUUACAUGUAAUGCCACCAUAAAGUACUUUAUGGGCUGUGCAGUCUGACCAGUCUACACCACUUGAUCCUUGGGUAGGUGGGCAAGUGGCCCUUAUGAAUUGUAUCAAGUCAGAAAAAGGCCCUUUCCUGCUUUCCUCAGUUUCGGCCGGGCCUUGAUCUUCUAUUCCUCCAGGCCUCCUUUUGGGCCGACUCCAUCCUUGGGCCAAAAAUCAAGUUUUAAUCCAAACAAUGAUACAUUUCAACUGAAACAAAUAUAGAAAAUACCUUAUACGGAUCGAAGCUCUCAUUGUCAGAUACCUUCAGAAUAUUUUCCAAACAAACCAGCUGCAGAACACAGAUUUAAUAAACAAAACCCAUCAGCGCCAUUUCUGUUGAAAUUACAUCAAAUUAAUAUGAUUAACAUAAAAAUGCGAUUUUUCUAAUCCUGUCAGUGGAUUUAACUACGAAUUAAUAAUAACGAACCUUCACCAACGCUGUUCCGAGAUAAACCAGAGCUGCCUUGACGGAAGUACCGAGCGUAUAGUACUCCGAUCUGCACAAUUAAAUCGCACAAUCAAUUUAGGGUUUUGAUUUGGGGAAGAAGACGAAGUGAAUUGGGUGUGAAUUGUGAGAGCUUAAAAGACCCGAUAUCGGACGAUAGAGACGUGUGUGCUUACUUAAGAAUGGCAAGCCCGUAAAUAACCCAAUGACAGAUCUGUAAAUAAAGUGAAAUUCAAUCAAAACACUGUUCAUUGGAACAGUGCCAAUUGCAAUGCUAUGCUUUCUUUGGACUAAAGUAAUAUCUAGCAAAAAUGUCUGCACUUUGCCAUGGGUCUUGAAACCGUUAAAGAUGAUACUAUUGUUUAUUAGCUUUUUUCUCUUUGAAGUUUGGACAGUGGACACUUGAAUUUCAAAUGGGUUUUUUCUAUUUGGGUUUUGUAUUGCGUUUCUUUGUCUGAUUAUACUUUGGGUUAUUGAUUUUGCUUUAUCCAACCUCCAGAGUCUAGAUGACAUUGAUGAUUCAUUACUUGGAAGAUCUCAUUCCACAUAUUUUCACUAUAUUUAUAAUAAAAUCAACAACAACAAAAAUAGAAAAGAAAAGAAAAGAAAAUACUCCACCAAACAAAAAAUGAGAGACUUCUACGACCUAAAAGGGCGGAUUUCUAAGUGAAAUGGUGGAAUACAAACACUAAUUUUCAAAGCUUCAACUAAUGCAAAUUAGAAACACUUCAAUUCACUUGUUUUCAUUAUUCAAUUUAUGUCCUAAGAAUAAUUACUCAUAGUUCAAAUAUUAAACGUUCCGCAACCAAAAGCUUUAAACACCUCAAAAGUUAUGGAAACUCUGAUUUCACUAACAAACACAACAAACCCAGAACACUAAAUUCAGUAUACUUGCUGCUCUCAUACUUUAUGAGCAUCCAAACAGAACCCAUAAUACCAAAUUUAAAACCCUAAAUCAAAAAAGACGGCCCCAAAAAAGCCCGUAAUACACACCCUUUUUUUUUUUUUUUUUUUUUUUAAUCUAGAGUAAGAUAAAUUGCUUACCUACUGGUGGUGCGGCACGAUUAACACAUGCCUUGCAUUGCAAUAUAUCCUCCACACAUCUUGACAACUAAAGUUCUUUACAAAAACUCUUCAAGAGUUCAAUUGAAAAAAAAAAUGAAAAAAAGCCCACAUCUAUCUACUUGUCUAAUUAAUUCAUACUCUCCCAUUUCCAAUUAAAUUGGGUUUUAUCUAAAAGGUUUCGAAUUGAAGUGUUUGCUCUAAAGUUUAAAGGCUUACGCUACAAAAAAAAAAAAAAAAUCAAAGUAAAACCCUUUUACAGAAUCCAAUCAACAAAUGUUCACCUUUAAAAUGAGAAUUUGUUUCAUUUUCUUAAAUCCAAAGAAGCAAAAAUUAAAAUUAAAUUAAAAAAGUGAACCUGGUGGUCGUCGUUGUCUCCGCUGCCAUUGUUGAAGAGGGAUUGAUUUUAGUUUUUACAUUGAGCUACCGACUUUCUUCCUCCUCUUGAUUCAAAUUCUAUCACGUGUCAGUCUUCUUCUUCUUGUUCUUUCAAAACUUUCUUAAUUCUCAAUUUUUUCUAAUCAAAUUAGCUUCAGCCUUAUUCACCUUCCAACAAAUAAAACCCAAAUUAUUUCAAACCUUGCAUACCCAAGAAUAUCCCCAGAAGAUAAGUUUCUUUUCCACAGAAAUUUUUGAAAUCUAAUGUUGGAACAAUACUAAUCCAAUUAGACAGUGUUAAUCGAAACAAUUAAUUUUUGUCAAGAAGAAUUGAAAUCAAGUGCUUUCUAGAAAAAGGUACAUUCUCGAAAAUGAGAUAAGAUUUAGUGAUCGGCAAUCCAAUCGUUCAAGAAGAAAGUAAUGAACUUUUGCGAAAUGUGAUUAAGACUUUGAAAGGAGUUGGAGUAAAUCUUUGUUGGCUGGAUGAUUGACCAGAAUGGAUUUCCCCUGUUCCAACUUAAGAUGUAUACUUCAAUGAAAAAAUAAGAGGCAUUUGCAAUGUAAUGGCCUUUGAAAUGAAGUUAAAAAUUGGGAUUUAGAGAAGGAAAGGGACUCAAAGCAAAAAAAGUAAGUAAAAAGAUUGUGGUUUUGCUCUACUCUUGCAAUGGAUUUUUUUUUUUUUCAAAUUAAAGCCAAUUUAAUAUUCAUUUAUUGGGACAGUGAACCGAAAAUUCUUAAGCAAAAUAGUUGAAUAAUCCUUUGCUUAGAUUUUUAAUUAUGGUGGAUUCGUUAAGCAUAAUUCUGUUGCAGCUGCAAUUAGUUUAGUUAGUUUUUAUGAACAUGUGACAACUGAAACUGAAAAAGAGAUGAGUAUUAUAUGUACUAACCACAAUUGGAAUGAUUGCAAUCCAGAAAUAAAGAUUAGAUCCUAUCAUAGUUCACAGAAAACAGUCACAUUUUAGAGUUUUCAAAACCGAUAAUAGUAUUUUGAAUUUAUGAUCUUCCAACUAGCAGCUAGAAGAGUAUCAAAGUAAUGAAAUACGCAAGCUACUAAUAUUACUGAAGGUGACUACAGAUAAAUCCUCUCGAGUUCUAUGCAUACGUUUCACAUUAAACAGCAUGAAAACAACAAAUCCCCAGAGUGUGUCAUUGCAAGAUAUUUAAGAAAAUGCAUUUAGCUAUUCGUUCUCUAUGGAAUUCAACUAAUUUACCACUCGAUCAUAAUAGGGGAAAACAAUUAAACCGUAAAUUAAAAACAAUUAAACCAAGCAAAUUUUCUGUAAUUCAAAAAACACAGAAAACAGUUGGCAACAAAGAUUUAGAGUUAAUUUAUACCAUGGAGUGCCAACUGAUGGACAUAAAAAGGAUGCAAAGAGAAAUUAGAAAACAACAAAAUAUUAAGAAAAAAAUAAGGAACAAACGUGGAUCAUAUAAGAAUCUUCUUUCUUUAAUCAUAUUGUAUUGCAUUAUUUCAAAAACUAAGUAUCUAAUUUCACCCCCAAAAAAAAAAAACCAGGUCAAAUAUUUCAUAAAAAUUAACAACUCCAGAAGUUACCUUCCAAGAGAUGAGUCGGUAGUUUCCAUCUAUUCGAUUUGAAGUGGGUCUGCAAAAAAAAAAUGUCCUUUGAUGACAUGACCCAAGAGGAAGACGGAGAAAAACCCAUCUUCGAAUACCCUUUCAGCUAAAUGGUUUCGCUGCGAAAAUCACAAAAUUAUUGGAAUUUAAAUCACAACUCUUACAAAUUCAGCUAGAUUUGAAAUUGAGGAAAUGACUUAACACUAUAACGAUUCGAAAGCAUUGGAAUUUAAAUCACAACUCUUACAAAUUCAACUAGAUUAUGACUAUAAUUCGUCAGUAACCCCCCUCUUGCUCAUACAUGAAUGUUGUCUUUCGGAGGCCAUAGCUGCAAUAAAAUAACAGUACAAUUUUCAUUUCCCACUACCAACUGUGCGGCAGAUGGACUUCUGUGUAGAUGCAAGCUCGCGAUCUGGGAAUGAUUCCUCCAGUCAGAAACUCAACCAUAGAGAUCCACAACCUUUAAUUUUAGCACAAACAGAGAAUUAUCAGAAGCUCACCUCUUAGAAAACUUGUAUCUUUCGGUUUCGAGUCUUACUAAUGAACAAAUAGUACAGACCAAAAUAUUUUCAAGUAAGGUGAAAACUAAAAUUAUCUAUACUAAAGUAGGGGGGAGGGCAGACGCUAUUCACCUUUGUUUUGAUUUUUCUUUAUUUACAACAAUGCCAGCCGAAUGUGGCUGGGUUGGGGGGUAAUUCUCAAAAAUUUAGAGGGUGAUUUUGUCUUUUGAGGUCAAUUCCUCCCCCCUCGAUUUUGCUUUAUUUACAACAAAACCGUGGGAUAUGGGGCUGGGUUGGAACGUAGUUAUUAAAAGUUAGGAGGGUAAUUUUGUCCUGUACGCUUGAGACGGAUUGGGGUGGGUUUGGGUAUGCUGUCAUUCAGUGAGGGUUUCGGGGAUGGGAGGCCAUGCCUCCGAUAGAGAGAGAGAGACAGAGCGAGAGAGAGGGAGAGGGAAGAGUGGGGAUCUCAGUGCCAUUGUUGCAGAUCCUCAAUUUCAUGAGUGGGAGAGGGGGGACAGUCAGAGAAAAGUAUGGGGGUACUCCGAUCUCUCUCUCUCUCUCUCCUCCGUUUCUCUCUCUUAAUUUCCUUUUGGUUUUGGAAAUCUCUGACCUUUUGGGUGAGUGAGAGAUUAUUGAUGAUGAGAAAAGUAUGGAGGUCUGACCUUUUGGUUUGGGUAUGCUUUCAUUCCUCAAUUUUCUCCAUCCGAGCAAUGAAAAAUCGAACUGGGUUUUCAGAUUAUCGAUGCACAGGGAUUCACGGACAGAGAAGGGAGAGACAGAGAGUUGAUUGAGGGAGUUGGUGAGUAUGGGCUUGCACAGAGGGAAGAACGCAGAGAGAGAGAGAGGGAGAGAAAGGGAGAGAACGAUUGCACAGAGACAAUGAGAGAGACGAGAGAGAGAUCGCAGAAAGAGGAGGAUGCCGAAAAUUGAGGAGGAACCCGUGUCUGCAGAGAGUAAGUUCUGAACCAAAGCUUAUUUUCUUUAUUUUUUGGCUAUGCGACAACAAAUUUCUGAAGCGGAAGAAUCAAGGAACCUUGCUUUUAGAUCUUUGAAAGGAAGAGACUGCCAGGAAAGUAAUUUUUUUUUCUCUCUGCUGGACAAAAAACUACCGGGGAAGGAAGAGACUGCCAGGAAAGUAAAACCCAGACCGGAGAAGACAAGCAAUGGCGGCGGAACCAAGGCUGUAGAUCUUUGAUAAAAGGUAUAAAUCCUUUUCGUUUCUGGUAGUUUUCCCUCGCCUAAAAAUGUGAUUUGCAAGGUAUCCCAAAAUAACAACAUUCAAAACAAUGGGGUGGUUUCGCUUUUCACAAAUUUACAUUGGUUGUCAUCUGUAAAUGUUAUACAAUGCUUAGUUCCAAACUUUAUCUCUGACAUUUUAGUGCGUUUUAUAUAGGAUGCAGUUAUGGAUGUAUUUAAAAUAUCAUGGGUUAGGGGUUUUAAGAAAUACCCAAGUUCUAUAGUUUAGCCUUUGUUCUUUUAGGAUUUUUCAAUUUGAUUUGGAUCAAUUUUGGGUCUGCAUGUUGUAAUUGGGGUUAAAAUUCGAAAGUUUUAUAAAUCUUUGAUUGAUUGAUCAAGUUUACGGUAUAGAUGAAGUUUUUGGAUCCGAAGCGGUUAGGAUGCUAAGUUAGGAAGGUUAAUUUUGUCCUAUGGGUUUGGGACGGAUUGGGAUGGGUCUAGGUGGCUGUCAUUUGAUGAGGGUUUGGUGAAUGAGAGCCAUGCCGCCUUUGCACAGAGAGAGAGGGAGGGAGUAGUAGGUCGUGUUUUAUCGUCUUCGCUGCACCAUUAGUUUGAUUGCCUAUCCUUGAGUAUUUGAGUCGUGUUUUAUACUUUUUCUUUCGUCUGGAAGAUGACUUCUGAUUCCUAUAUUAAUGAGAUACUCAAUCUUCAAUCCUGCUUAGUAGCAGCGAUCACCACCUAUUUGAUGAAAGGUACAAGUGAAAUGGUUGUUAAUAUUUGGGAACCAACAGAGCUCCUUAUUUUGGGGGUUUGUUUCCGUUUUUGGCAGGAGAACGAUUUGGAGCAAGUGACUCACAAAGUUAUACUUCGAUAUCGAAAUUAAUGGAAACCCAUUGGUAUGAUUUCUCAUCUGAAAUUUUUGAUUGCCCAAUUGGUUGUUUCAUCAAUUAAUUGUGUGCAAACAUAUAUGUGUACUUUUUUUAUUUCUUCCAAUUAAAUGGUACGAUCAAAUUAAGCUUAAGAACUUUGGGUUUUGUAAAUGUUGUGUAAUUAAAUUAUUCAUAUUAUCAAUUAAUUUUGAGCAAACAUUUCUGGGUAAUUGUUAAUUUCCUUCAAUAUUUGAUAAUAAUUCAAUUAAAGCUGAGAACUUUGUAUUUUGUUCAUCACCUGCCGUAGAUUUUACUUGGCAGAGAAAAUGUAGUUUCCUUGAUAUUAUUCAUGUUUUGUUUUCUUUCAGAUUGCAUUGUAAUGGGACUCUUUGGAAAAACAGUUCUUAAGACCAAUUGUGAGGUUUGUUCUUAUAUGGUCCAUGACUGUUUUUAUAAUUCUUUUGCACAUUUGUUAGUAUUUGUAGUUGUGAUUGGUGUUGUCCUACAUGUUCGAAUUUGGAUAGUCUAGGGUUGUUGACGAGUUUUCUGUUUGUGAUUAAGCCUGGAUUUCCCGAGAAAGUGAGAGAUUGGAUGGAAAACAAACAAUGCCUGGAUUUCCUCUUUGUACUACCUGUUUGGCUGUUUCUUAAAAUUAAAUUGUAGCAAGUAUAAAUCAACUCUGUGUGUGUGUGGGUUUGGAUGGAAUCUGUAUUUCCUUCUUGCAUCUUAAUUCUUAUCAUGUGUUUGGUUUCUGAGAAAAUGUGAUAAUCAGGAGGGUAAAGUGAGGGAUUGGAUGGAAAACAAACAAUGCCUGAAUUUCCUCUUUGUACUACCUGUUUGGCUAUUUCUUAAAAUUAAAUUGUAGCAAGUAUAAAUAAACUCUCUGUGUUUGUGGGAUUGGAUGGAAUCUGUAUUUCCUUCUUGCAUCUUAAUUCUUAUCAUGUGUUUGGUUUCUGAGAAAACGUGAUAAUCAGGAGGGUGUGAUAUUUCUUAUUAUAGAAAUCUUUACUUAGCAAUCAAACAGGAUAUUAUUGUUUCCGAAAUAUUCUCUGAAUUUCCGUGGGUUAUUAGGUGAAUAUGUGGCCGUAGUGAUUUGAAAGAACAUGAAUGCGUGACUAACUUUGAUGAAUUCUAAACUUGCAGACAUUCUUUCCGACAAUGACAAGGAUCGUGGGAACGCUUGGUCCAAAAUAACGAUCGGUUGAGACAAUCUCCGGCUGCUUGAAGGCAGGAAUGUCUGGUAUUGCUCACCUGCUAUGUUUAAUUUUCAUUGUUCAUCUGUCUGAUUAUGCUUUUUAUUUUUGCUAUCUCCCUUCAUCUAUAAUACCUUAGUAAAAGGAUAAUAAACACCGUCUGAGGCUUAUGUAUCUCCGUUUUGGCGGUACAAUUUCUUCAUCGCAAAGAUAAUACUGUGUGAUUGUUUUGCUUCUGGUAAAUCUUUUAUCUAUAUUCCGUCUGUUCCAAUUUGAAUUCCCUUUUUUGGAUUUUAUAUGCCGUUGAUUUUACUAAUUGAAGUAUAUAAUUCCCUUCACACCCUCCAUGUAUAUAUAGUGGCACGGUCUGAUUUUUCAUGGGGUGAUGCCCAGUUUCACCAAGAGACAUUGGGAAACCUGAAGGUUGCAAUGAAGAGUACCAACAAACUUUGUGCAGUAAGCUUGCUAUUCUUACAAGCUCUGCAUUUUGUCUCUAAAUUAUUUAACUGUAUAAUGAUCCUAAAAUUCAACUUUUAACUAACUGUGUUUUUGUGUCUGCAUUAUUUAAUUUGUUAUGAUCCUUUCACUAAAUCACCUUAAUUUGCGAAGGCUUGAUAUAGAUUUACUUAGUUUUCGAUAUUUAGGGUUUAGGGUUAAACCUCAAACAUGGCGGAAACGUAUUGGAUGACAGCCAUGUCGCUUGCAAAGACAGAGAGAGAGAGAGAGAGAGAGAUUUGGUGCAGUUCUUUGAUUCCGGAGUGGGAGUUCGAUAAAGAAUGUGACUUUGAGAUGAGAAGAGUUUUUGAAAUUGUGUUGUGGGCAUGUGUGAAGCUGAAUGAUGCAACCUUUGAUCUCUCCCAUCUGAAUAAAGCUAAAUUUUUGCAUUAAAAUGUAAUAAUAUUCAAAUGUAUACUAAGUUUCUCAGUAGCCAAAACAGACCCUUACAUGAUUUUGUCUAGAAUUCGUUUAAAGAUUUAAAAUUUCUCUUCACUCUGCUAAUGGGUUUGAUUUUUUCCCAUCUAUUUUGCAGUUUGAGUCUACUGAGUUCUGCGGAUUCACUCAAUUGCAAUCAUCUCUUCUGCAAGUAAUCUCUACCUUCAGUGUUAUUCACAUAUGAAUGUUAGGUUUUAUUUGGAUGUAUUAAUACUUGGAAUGUGCUUGAUCAUAUUGCCAGUGCUUGCUUAUUUUUUACAGCACUUGCACCCUGAGUUGAUGAAAUCGGGUUCCAUUUGUCCAGUUUAUAAAAUUCCAUAUUGGCGCAGAGGUAGGAAUCAUGAUAAUUUUUUGUGCGCGCUGAACUGUUAGAGGCUACAAUUGUUUUAUGUGAAAUCAUUUACUUUCAUCAUAAUGAGUUUACUUCUAGGCUAAAAUACAUACAUGUUUUCUAAGCUAAAAUACACUUCUCAGACAUAUGUAAUUAUUGGAUUGGAUUUUUCUUAUUAACCUUCGUAUGAUGGUGGCUUAAAUUUUUCAGGCAAAAGUUUUUAUGCAACCUCAUUACUUGCAGAAUUUGGUUUGGUCAACCUUUAAUGCCUUAUCGUUGGAAUAAGUUAAGGUAAGGGUCACCAAAUCAUACUAUUUUCGUUGCUAUUUAUUUCCUUGCCGAACAUGAUGAAGCGAAUUCUCUUCAUUUACAUUCUUGCAUUUAAAUUUGCAAGUCAGUUUAUGGUAAAUAAUAUUCAAUUUUCGUUGUUUUUUAUUUUACUGAGUUGCAGUUAAAACCCAUUUACACUCCCAAUUUUUUUGUGUGGUAAAACUUAAACUGAAGCAUUAUGUAUAUCCAAGAUUGAAGGAGAAAUUUAAGUUAAAUUAGAUGGACACCCAAUACUAUGGGUGAUGUUGGCAGAGUUGUAACCAUAUCAGUAGUCGAUUUUAUAAAUAAAGUGAAAUACAAGACUAACCCAACAGGUAUCAUAAAAUAAUGUGGAACUACUUUUCUCUCUCAGUACUCAAGAUAUCAUUCCUCACUUGGCCAAAAACGAUAGAUUGUCCCUCAUGACGUGCUUUCCAUGUUUGAAUAUUUUGUUCAUUCAGCUUCAAGUGUUUUCUUUUUGUGUAUAAGAAUAUCUUAGUAACUCAUUGUUUUUUCUUUCCUGUAGGUGGUACAAUAGUUCUAUCCGAUGAUGGUCACUAUUUUUCAAAGGAUGCUGUCGAAUUUCAAGAUUGAAAACUGCUGGCUUUCAAUCUUUUUGAACAAGUUACCUUUGUAAGGUAUCAAAACUAUAAUUUUUCUAUAGCAAAUAAAAUUCUUUCCUUCUCUAUGGUAAUUUUGUUUAGAUUAGCUUCUGUUACUUAGGAAUAAUGAAUGUCACAAUUGCUAAUAAAUUGAUACUUUGUUCGGAGCUUGAAUUGUAGAUCUGUGCAAGAUAUCCAUAUAUGGGUCAAUGCUAUGGACUCUUCUCAACCUAUGGACCUCAAAUUUCAGUGCGUUUUCCAUCAUUUAUCCUACCUCACUAUGUAUGGAGCUAUUACAUUUGAAUCAUAUUAAUUCCUUGAAAACAAUAUUUAUAUUUCUCUGUAAACUGCUAAAUUUGCAUCCGUGUCAUUCAGAGGGUUGUGAGAGAGUGAGAGUGCUGCGUUCUAGGGUUUGAGAGUUGGUUUCGAGAAAGUGAGGGGGCCGGAGUGGGGGUAAGGCUUGGGCUGGGUUUGUGGAAUGGGGCUGGAUUAGUUACAGACAGAGAAGGGGAUGAGGGUGUGGAAUGUCAGGGAGAGGGAGGUCUGCCAAAAAUUGGGAUUGAUGGUGAGGGGAUUGUAGGGCAGACAGGAGGCCAUGCCGCCUCUAAGAUAGAGAUAGAGAGACCGAGAGAGAGAGAGAGAGAGACGGAGACAGAGCGAGAGAGGGAGGGAUUUCAGGGAUUUGCAAAUUCUUCCCCUAGCUGCUGUUCCGUUCUGAUUUGAAGAUUUCUCAAGCAGCUAUAAUUUCAUGGUAGGUUGGUUUAAAGUAGUUCCAAAAUAUGGGAUCGUUUGGGAUAUGUUCCCCCUCUCUCUACAUUUCAGAUUUCUGCAGUUUCACAAAUUAGGGUCACAAUUUCUCUCUGUGAUCUUUGAAUUUGUGCUCAGUUUUUUGUUUGUUGAGAUUUUCGGCCUAUGGUCUGAUUGACGUUGGGUUUGCUCGAGUUUACAGGUCUAUAUGUGCAGCAAGCAAAAUCCUUUCAUUCAUAUGAGCUUCUUGGGCCUCUUUACCUUCACAGCAGCUUACCUACGUGGGUCAGUAAUCUUAAAUUGAUUUCUUGAUUUCUGUUGUUGAACGUUUAUCUUAAAUUGAUUCCUUCCAGCUUAUUUCCGUCUGCAGCUUUUCUUUUGGCUCCAGAAUACCAUAUGGAGACAUAUCAUCUUUCUCUUCUCUCUCUGUGUCUGUCUUUCUCUCUUUAUGAGCGCUGUCUUUCUUUCUUUAGGAGCGCACCAUCAAGGGCCGUAAUUAAAUCUUAUGCUAUAUUUCUUUUACUUUUGAGUAUUAUGAGGAUGUGAUUUUAGACUCAUCAACGACAAAAAAAAUUGCUUUCAUUUUAUAGGAGUGAAAGAUUUGAUUUUUCAUGCACUUACCUUUUAAUUUUAUUUGUUUAUUUAGUUUUCCCAAUAUUUCUCAACAAAUCGAAUUGAGGUUCCUUUUCUGCUUUACAUCCUUUGAGUAUCUUUCUGUUGCUAGGUUGUUUCUCCAUGUUUUGUUGCUUCUGUAUUGUGUGAUAAGGGUGUUAAAAGAAAAAGGUGAAAGGAAAUCACCAUACCUAUUAUUACUUGAAGGAUGCUUCUUUCAUUCAGUAUGAAAUUUUCAUUUUUUUCUAGAUUCUUGAUUUAUUUUCAAUGUUAAUUUCUUAUUAAAUUAUUAUUUUUGAUAAACCCACUCAGCCUCCAGAGUCUAGAUUAAGGCUUGAAGCACAACUUUUAAAAAUCGAGAUUACCUACAAUUGAGCUGCAAUGGAGGCAAUCAGGAAGCUAAGAGAUCAGGUCGCCAAGCAACAACAGGUACUCUCUCUCUCUCUCUCUCUCUCUCUCUCUCUCUCUCUCUUCGUGUUUGAUGGAAUUUACACUCUAUUUCCGAAUUUGUAUUUUUGUAUGGAUUUUGAUAUGAACAUAAUCUGCGUUAAUUGUGAGAUUGCUUAUCAGAUUUGUGAUUUUAAAGGUGUCCUAUCAACCAAUUUAGUUCCAAUAUAAUAAUAAUGAUUAUAAUUGUUGAAUUGAACUAAUUGAAUUGAAAUUAAUUGAAUUGAAUCGAAUCAAAUUUCACUAUUUCUGAGCUAUUUGGGGAUGUGUUGGAGUGUGUUGUUGGUGAAUUUGUAAAAAUUUGAACUAGGUGUUGCUGAUUACUUAAUCAUUUUAUUAGGAUUUAAGUCGAUGCUUAAUUUUUACUUUUUCUGAUUGAAAAAAUUAUGGGUUCUUAGAGGAUUGAGGGAGUAAAAGCAGGUAUUUUGUUUAAGUUUUGUUAUAUUGUUGUUGAAUUUGGUUGCUCCUUAGCUCUGGGGAGAGAGGUAUGGGUGUGUCAUUUGGUGAAGCAGGGGUUGGGGAAAGAGACGGGGUGUAACGAGUAUGGUUGCAGAUGAGUGUUUGAGGUAGACAUUUUGGGUUUUCCUUUUGGGUUUUCCCGAAGGCAAGAACUAAAACCUAAACAGAUAAAUUAGGACAUGAAUUAUGGAUAAAAGGCAUGCAAUAAACUGGCAGAGUCUAAAGCUAAUCUAAUCUGGACUACCAAAAUCAUGAACUAUCAAUUUUCUAUCAUUUCAGUUUCUACAGAGUACCCAUUUCCUUCGUGCAAAUGGGUCUUACAAACUUCCACUCGGUUCUAUCAAUUUUGUUGGAAUUAAUAAUUCUGCAGAGCAUUUUUGCAGUGACUUUCAGUGACCCAUUUGCCUAAUUAGUUUGUAGCAUAUUAUUCAAUGGUGAUGCAAUGCAGUAACUUUGGCGAAAGACGUGUAGUUGUGAAAAGAUGAAAAAAGGAGAAAGAUUGUGUAAUUUGGUUGUCAACGUGUGCUUUAGGCUGAGCUAUUUAUGUCAAACAUUACAAGCCCUGAUAUUUAAGCAAAGAUGUGUAUAAAAGGUUUAGGAUUUUCUUAGCACCCUUAAUUCAAACAUGCUCAGUUUUGAAUUUAUACAUAACUAGAGAGUAGGGGGUGCUGAACGUUCCAACCACGUUGCUAAGUUGAGUUACUAGAAUUGAAUUGUCCUAUAAGGUUUAAAUUUCCCCAAGUUAUUUAUCGCAUUUUAGAAAGUUAUCUUACUGAUUCAUAUGAUGAUGAUGUUAUAUAAGUUCUUGAAUUGAGCUGUCAGACCACGAGCAUUGAUUAUAUCCAUUAUUUGGCACUUGCAAGAUUAUUUUUAUGUUUAUUGAGUUCUAAAAGGUGUCAUUUUUUUCAGUUUUAGGUGAAAGAGAUACUAUCCCAUUAUCCAUCCAACUACAAACAGUCUGCAGUGAUUCCUCUGCUGGAUUUUCCACAACAGCAGCAUGGAGGUUGGCUCCCUGUUUCAGCAAUGAAUGCAGUAUGUUUAUUUUGUUGGGUUGUAUUUAUGUAUUGUUUUCUACUAAUUAAUGAUGUAAAAAUGUUAUUAAGUUAUUGGUUCUGUUAAUAUUGGUAAAUUUAGAAUUAGAUUAAAUUUUGUUCGUUUUCUCUGCAUCUUCUCACCAACCAAACUCUAUUUUUAUGUAGAGAUCAAGCAUGCAAGGGAAUGGUAGGAUCAACACAUCAAAGGUAGAGAUUGACUCUUUCUCUCAUGUUAAACUUCUACUGUGAUGUUUUUUAUUAUUAAAGUUUGGUAAAAUCAUUGUAUAUCAUAAACCUUAUCACAAUACAAAUAACAGGGAGAGAGAGAUGAAAAAUAGAGAGGUAUCUGUUUGAUUGUAUGUUUGCUUUGCAAAUUUUGGAUAAUGAUCAUGAAUUGUGGUGUAAGUGCAUCUCUGAUUUGUUCUUUUUCACGUUUCUGCAUAAAGGAUUUUCCAACUGACACCAAAGAAAGGUAGUAGUCUUCUCUUUCUAUGUUAAUUUAUUAAGAAAUGAUUUCCUAAGCAUGCUUCUUUUUAACGUAUUCUUUUGCAAUGUGGGAAGGUUGUUGAUUAUCUCAUUGACCCCAGCCUUUGUUGCUGGCACAAAUGGUGAUCCCAAAUAACUUUAUGUGAGUAAUGUCUCACUCUUUGUCCAUAUUUCAUACUGAGUUGUUAAUGGGAUUGUUCCUUAACUAGACAAUUGUUUCCCGAAAUCUGUAUUUAUGCCAUUGCCGUGCAGCUAUCUCAUAAAUCUUCUUAUGUAUACUUAUUUGGUAAGAAUAAACACCUUUUGAGGCUCAAGUAUGGAGUACCAUCUACCAAUGGCACCACCAAAACCACAUUCUUAUUAUUAUUGUUAACAGCCCUUUGCAUGAUUAAUUUCUAUUUCAUAUUAGUUUUAACAAAUAUAUUUGGGUAUGGAUUUUUGACCUUGGCUAUUCAAUUGACUUGAAUUAGUGUCAAUUAAUCCAAUUUUUUGUCUUGAUUUUCUAUUUGAUUUUUUUAUAUGAAACUUAAGUAUAGGGUUUUGACAUAUGGGUGGAUUUGACAUUGCUCAUGCUGUGGCUAGGUAAAAAGACUUCCUCGGUUGUUUUGCUUGGAUUAUCAUGUUCAUGCCAAUAUCAAAUGAAAUUUCUACCCUUGCCACUAAAACUCUGUACUUUUUUCUUUGCUUUUUGUGUUGAGGUGUCGUCUGCUUCUUCUGCUUCAUUGGUUUUGUUCUUCUGCACUCCCUUGGCCUCUGGGAUUUUUGUGCUUCACUACUGCCCUGCUCCGGGAUCUUCAAUUUUGAAUGGUUGUCGGUCCCAGCCGGCUAGAGCUUCAAUUUUGUGUUUCUGUACUCUCCCGGGGAUUUCUUCACUGCCCUGCUACUGGGAUCUUUAAUUUUUGAAUAGUUGUGGAUUCAAGCCUGCUAUCUGCAGAGCUUCUAUUUUCCUUCAACUUCGUCGGUAGCAAUGCGCCUCCCUCAAACUACUAUAGUGGCAUUUGUUUAACUUUUACUUGAAGGAUUGAGCAAUGGGUUACGCGUUGAAUGUUUAUGCAGGUACUCACAGCUGUUCUACAGAAGUUGGGUUGUUCAUAAACGAAAGAGUUGUUUGGAUUUUUGCUGCUUCUUGAAUUUAUAUAUAAAUGAGUCGUUGCGUAAAAAAAAAAAAAAUUGGGGUUUUGUUUUUAUGUUGGAAUUCUGAGUGUGGGUGUAUGAUUUGGUUCUCUUUCUAUUUUCAAGAAACGGUGGUUUUCAUUUUUUGGGGAGUGCAAUAGCGUUCUAGGAUUCAUAUAGCCGACAUCACUUGGUGGGAAAAGGCUUUGUUGUUGUUGUUGUUGUUGUUGUUGUUGUUAUUGUUUGUAUUGUGUGUAGGCUUCCAAGCUGUUUGUGCUUGAGGUAUAUAAUUUCAGCUUUUUUCUUUGGGUUUUUUUAUUUUUUUUAUUGAAGAAUGUAAAUUUUUUUGUGCUCUGAAACCCUAAUACGUAGGGAUUCAUCUGAUCUUAUAUUUUUGUGUAUUUGAGAAUGCCUUUUGCUGCUUUUUUACUGUUUUGUAUCAUAUUUUGUGUGUGUGUGUGUGCGGCUCAAAACAGAAAGUUACUUGGUCCUAAUGUGUUGUUUAUUUAGCUGCAGCCAACAUUCAGGUGUCUGAUAUUGGUAUGUAAAUUAUUGGUAAUUUGGAUUGGUGUCUGAGAUUUAGAGAAUGGGUCGCAUCUUUAAUUUCUUUUUCCUUCAUUAUUACUGUUUUCAAAAUUUUUACUGCUGGUAUUGAUGAUUUGUAGUCUGUGAGGGCUUCUAUUUGUUGGAAUUUUGAAUGGUUAUUGCUUCAUCGGAAUUUGGGUGGUCCAAAUUGAAUUAGAAGAAAACCAAUUUGAUUAAUAUUUUAGGUGGAUUGGCUCUCUGUGUUUUGUCUGUUAUUUCUUCCCCAGUUGGAAAGUGGAAGCCCCAACUUUGAGCUCAGAGCUUGAAUUUCUCAAUCAUUCAUUUUUCUACACCAUCAAGUAGUACUCCAUUUAAUUGCUUAAUUGAGGUUUUUUGUUUCUCUUUUUUGCUCUUUCAUCAGUUCAUUGGCUUUUUUGUUCCUCUUGAUCCUUCUUAAUUAUCAUCUAUUAAUCUUUCCAUUCAUAAUAAAGCUUAAUUGUCAACCUGUUUUGAGGUAGCCACGUGAACCAUUGCAGGAAACGUGCUGUCGGCUCAGGAUUUAACAUUGCAGGUUUCAUUGACUUCCUAUCCUGUACUUACUUAUUUUUUAUUAUCUGAUUUUAAACUUUUAACAGCAUAAAGCUUAUGAAAAUUCAAAUGUAUUUGACCACGAUAUGGUUUUAGAGGAUUUAAAAAGUGAAGAUUUUUGGUGGAUGUAGAAGAAUGUUUUAAGUCUACAUAUUUUAAUGUGGACUAUCCCUUUAUUUGGGUCAAUUUACAUUGUCGAUCAUUGAUAAUAUUAAUGUUGCAAUCCUUGAUUCCCAAUGAAGAAUAGCUGUUUUGUAUCAAUCAUUAUUGGAAGGAAAAGAGAGGCGAGAGAAACAUUAGCUGUGUAAUAGUUUUACUAAACAAACAUAAUUAUAUCACACAUUUUGUAUCCUAUAGCUCAUCACAGUAAUCAUAGUUGGUCAGUUUAAUUAUUAGCAGCUGAUAAGUGUUUGUAAAGAAGUGUAGCCAUGGGAAUCCAAACAAGUUCAAAUUUAUAGAUUCGAAUGGGUCAAGGUUGUUUGGGAGCAUAUGCUCCUAUCAACUUUACCCGGGACACACAAAAGAAGUACUUUGAUCCUAUUAGACGGGGGAGGGUGAAGAAGCUAGGACAGAAGGGUAGAGUUCAAGAGAGCAAAAUGCGUUUAGGAACGUGGAAUAUAGGAACCUUAACGGGAAAAUCUAUGGAAGUAGUGGAAGUUAUGGUGAGGAGAAGGAUAAAUAUUAUGUGCCUACAAGAAACUAAGUGGGUUGGUAGUAAGGCAAAGGAUCUAGAAAACUCAGGGUUUAAACUUUGGUAUUCGGGCACAAAUAGAACGAGAAACGGUGUUGGCAUCAUCGUGGACAAGACCUUGGUACAAGAUGUUGUAGAUGUCAAGAGGGUAGGAGAUAGAAUCAUGGCAAUCAAGAUUGUAAUAGGACAAGAACUUAUCAAUGUGAUUAGUGCGUACGCACCUCAAGUAGGGUUGGAUACGAGUUCGAAAGGAGAAAUUUUGGGAAGAUCUUGGAGACUUGGUGCAAGGAAUUGCUCAGACGGAGAAGUUAUUUAUAGGAGGAGGAGAUUUAAAUGGACACGUGGGCAGGGAGACAGGCAACUAUGGAGGUUUUCAUGGUGGCCAUGGUUUUGGGGAGGAGAGAAACGAGGAUGGGGAAGCUAUCUUGGAUUUUGCAAUGGCAUAUGAUCUCUUUUUUAGCCAACACCUUCUUUAAGAAGAGAGAAGAACAUGUGAUCACCUACAAGAGUGGGUCGUCAAAAAACACAAAUAGAUUUUUCUUCUAAUGAGGAAAGGGGAUCGUAUAACUUGUAAGGAUUGCAAAGUUAUACCAGGAGAGAGCGUGGCUAAUCAACAUCGCUUGUUGGUGAUGGAUGUACAUAUCAAAAGAGUAAGACAAAAGAACAAGACUUGGAAGUGCCCAAGAACUAGAUGGUGGAAUCUAAAAGAAGAAAAACAAGCCAUUUUCAAAGAGAAGGUAAUCACCCAAUGUGUGUGGGAUAGAGAGAGGGGGAAGCUAGCCAAAUGUGGGAUUCCAUGGCUAGUUGUAUCCGAAAAGUAGCAAAAGAGGUAUUAGGAGAGUCCAAGGGCUUUGCCCCACACCAAAAGGAAUCUUGGUGGUGGAAUGAGGAGGUACAAACAAAGGUGAAGGCUAAGAAGGAAUGUUGUAAAGCCUUAUACAAGGAGAGGACCGAUGAAAAUGGUGAAAGGUAUAGAAAAGCGAAGCAAGAGGCGAAGAAAGCUGUCAGAGAAGCUAAGUUAGCGGCUUACGACGAUAUGUAUAUAAACGACUAGAUACCAAAGAAGGAGAGUUGGAUAUCUAUAAACUAGCUAGAGCAAGGGAAAAGAAGACAAGGGACUUAAACCAAGUGAGGUGCAUCAAGGAUGAGGAUGGAAAGGUUCUUGCUACAGAGAACGCGGUUAAAGACAGAUGGAGAGGUUAUUUUCAUAAUCUUUUCAAUGAAGGACAUGAAAGGAGUGCUUCUUUAGGGGAGUUGAGUAACUCAGAAGAGUGUAGAAACUACUCCUUUUAUCGUCGAAUCCGGAAGGAAGAAGUGGUUGUAGCUUUGAAGAAGAUGAAGCAUAGAAAAGCAAUAGGCCCAGACGAUAUACCAAUCGAAGUGUGUGGAAAGUUUUUGGAGAGACAGAGGUAUAACAUGGCUCACUGACCUUUUCAAUAGGAUUUUGAAAACGAAGAAGAUGCCAAAUGAGUGGCGAACGAGCACUUUGGUGCCUAUAUCUACAAGAAUAAGGGCGACGUACAAAAUUGCAUGAACUAUAGGGGUAUUAAGCUAAUGAGUCAUACAAUGAAGCUCUGGGAGAGAGAGUCAUUGAGCAUAGAUUGAGGCAAGAGACACGGGUUUCGGACAACCAAUUCGGGUUCAUGCCAGGGCGCUCAACCAUGGAGGCAAUCUAUCUCUUACGACGAAGAUUGAUGGAAAGAUAUAGAGAUGGGAAAAAGGAUUUACACAUGGUCUUUAUAGAUUUGGAAAAAAGCGUAUGAUAGGGUCCCAAGAGACAUUCUUUGGAGGAUUUUAGAGAAGAAAGGAGUACGAGUAGCAUAUAUCCAAGCUAUAAAGGAUAUGUAUGAAGGAGCAAAGACUGCCGUAAGAACUCAUGAAGGACAAACCGAAAGCUUUCCCAUAACUGUAGGAUUACAUCAAGGCUCAUCCUUAAGUCCUUACCUUUUUGCGUUGGUAAUGGAUGAGUUAACAGGACACAUAUUCAAGAUGAUAUUCCUUGGUGUAUGCUUUUCGCAGACGAUAUAGUGUUGAUAGAUGAAACUCAGGAAGGGGUAAAUGCAAAGCUUAACCUUUGGAGAGAAGUGUUGGAAUCUAAAGGUCUUCGCCUAAGCCGAUCAAAGACAGAAUAUAUGGAGUGCAAGUUCAGUGCAAAUGGAGGCCAAAAACGAGUUAGGGGUGAGGAUCGGAGAUCAAGAAAUACCAAAGAGCGACCGUUUUUUUCGUUACUAGGAUCUAUCUUGCAAAAGAACGGAGAAGAAUUAGAUGAAGAUCUCAACCAUAGAAUACAAGCUGGAUGGAUGAAGUGGAAGAGUGCAUCCGGCGUGUGUGUGUGACCGCCGUAUGCCACUGAAGCUCAAGGGAAAAUUUUAUAGGACGGCAAUAAGGCCGGCGAUGCUGUAUGGCACAGAAUGUUGGGCGGUGAAACAUCAACACGUACACAAAAUGGGUGUAGCGGAGAUGAGGAUGCUUCGUUGGAUGUGUGGGCACACAAGAAAGGAUAAGAUUAGGAAUGAGGAUAUCCGGGGUAAAGUAGGAGUAGCCGAAAUUGAAGGAAAGAUGAGAGAAAAUCGGUUACGGUGGUUUGGACAUGUGCAAAGAAGGCCUACUGACGCUCCGAUUAGAAGAUGCGACUAUGGGACAGAGGUUCAGGGCCGAAGGGGUAGAGGAAGACCUAGGAAAACUUUGGAAGAGACUCUAAGAAAAGACUUAGAGUACUUGGAUCUAACGAAGGACAUGACACAGGAUCGAGCACAAAUGGCGUUCUAAGAUUCAUAUAGCCGAUCCCACUCAGUGACUUGGAUUUUCCAAGUCUCCAACCAAGAAGUUUUCCUCACUCGGGAACUUAAGGGAACACUACCCCAACCUACAUGCUCCACUCAGAAAGCUUCAACAUACAAGCUUCAACAAAAGAAAAUUCAAAGAACUUAGCGAAGAAGGCUUUGGUGUAUUUAACACAAUACGUUGAAAUGAAGGAAAGCUUAUUUAUUGAUAUUCCCGAUAAGCUACAAAUAUGUACAUAUACAUGAGUCAAAAUAAACACACAAGAGGGAGCCUUCACAAAGGUUGCUUAGGAGAAGUCUCAGCAGUCGGUAGAGCCCCAGAAAGAGAAGGCACCGGAGGGGGAUCAUUUGGAGCUUCAUUACGCGGUACAGCCCCAGAAGACGAAGGCAAUAAAUGCCUUUGGAACAAACCCACAAAUCUAUGAUGAUCAAGUAAAACCUGACCAUCAGUUUCCUUCAUCUGGUCAAGCUUCCUCUUCAUGUUUGUAGCAUAGUCAUGUGCGAGCCGGUGCAACUGUUUAUUCUCAUGCUUGAGCCCUCUAAUCUCCUGUUUGAGACUCAUCACUUCAGCCGCCAAUGAUUCAACUUGGCGGGUUCGAGCAAAUAGGCGUUGGGCCAUAUUAGACACAGAACCUGCACACUGAACACUGAGAGCCAGCGAAUCCUUAACAGCUAACUCAUCAGACCGUUUGGAAAGUAGUCUGUUAUCUUUGGGAGUGAGAAGGUUCCUGGCCACCACCGCAGCGGUCAUAUCAUUCUUCAUCACGGAAUCCCCAACGGUAAGAGGACCAGUUGAGGAGACGAAGGAUGGGCGCCAUAUGUUGUCUGGAGAAGGCGGGGCUGCCUCUUCAACAAGGUUCAAGUCAAAACGACGGUCGGAGGGGCCAGACAUUUUCAAAGGUGUUGAAGAGAGAAGAGGUCGGACAAAUCAAGAUCUUAGAAGUGCAAGAAUGAAGCUUCUACUGGUGGAGAUUCAAGUGUGCUUUGGAACUUAAUGCCAGCCUCUAUAAAAAUCUGCACUCGACGGAGCUUCAGAAAUCAAAGAGGCGCCUGCUCAGAAAUCGAAGAGGCGUUUGCUUUCUCAAAAGUUGGGCUGCUUAGAGAUCACGAGGGUUGAUCUCAGAAAUCGAAGAGCCGUUUGCUUUCUCAAAAGUUGGGCUGCUCAAAGACCACGAAGGCCGAUCUCAGAAAUCGAAGAGGCGCUCGCUUUCUCAAAAGCUGGGCUCCCUAGAGACCACGAGGGCCGAUCUCAGAAAUCGAAGAGGCACCUACUUUUCCAGCCUUGUCAGCACCUGUCACACGCACACUCAGCUUUGCGGAAAUUAUGGGCAUUCUGUCAAAAGACUUCUGGGGAAGUAGAAAACACAUGAAUCUUACUGUUCAAUCACCCACUUUCCCACACGCAACAAUAGCUCAUGGGUACCACAGAUAACUUUGCCAAAGUUCUCUGCCAAAGUUGAGCACGUGAAGCUUGCAGCUCCCACUACAUCGCUCUGACCAAGAAGGGUAAAAGAAUAGCAAAGAAACAGCACUAACAAAGUUUAGACCCAUAAAUUUUGAAGGUCUAGCUACCAUAUUAUUACCCACAAGGGUAAAGGAACAGUACCACUGCUGGAUAAUUGGAAAGUCCAUGUAUGUCAACCUCUGUGCUUCGUGGCAAGGUAGACUAGCAAACAUGCCCAACCUUUACUCACAUUCGAGAAAACACUCCCAAUAAGAUUGCUUGCUCCAAAAUCGAAGAGGCACCGUCCUCCGAAUCUAAAGAGCCAGACUCCCAACAUGACUACUUUCUUAAAAAUCGAAGAGAGGGUAAAGGAACAGUACCAUUGCUGGAUAAUUGGAAAGUCCCCUGUGUGUCAACCUCUGUGCUUCGUGGCAAGGUAGACUAGCAAACAUGCCCAACCUUUACUCACAUUCGAGAAAACACUCCCAACAAGAUUGCUUGCUCCAAAAUCGAAGAGGCACCGCCCUCCGAAUCUCGAGAGCCACUCUCCCAACAUGAUUACUUUCUCAAAAAUUGAAGAGACACUGCUCCCCGAAUCUCGAGAGCCAGACCCCCAGCAUGAUUGCUUUCUCAAAAAUCGGUGAGGCACCGUUCUCCGAAUCAAUCGAAGAGGCGCUCGCUUUCUCAAAAGCUGGGCUGCUCAGAUACCACGAGGGCCGAUCUCAGAAAUCGAAGAGGCAUCUACUUUUCUAGCCUUGUCAGCACCUGUCACACGCACACUCAGCUUUGCAGAAAUUAUGGGCAUUCUGUCGAAGACUUCUGGUGAAAUAGAAAGCACAUGAAUCUUACUGUUCAAUCACCCACUUCCCACACGCAACAAUAACUCAUGGGUACCACAGAUCACUUUGCCAAAGUUCUCUGCCAAAAGUUGAGCACGUGAAGCUUGCAGCUCCCACUACAUCGCUCUGACCAAGAAAGGUAAAAGAAUAGCAAAGAAACAGCACUAACAAAGUUUAGACACAUAAAUUUUGAAGGUCUAGCUACCAUAUUAUUACCCACAAGGGUAAAGGAACAGUACCACUGCUGGAUAAUUGGAAAGUCCCUGUGUGUCAACCUCUGUGCUUCGUGGCAAGGUAGACUAGCAAACAUGCCCAACCUUUACUCACAUUCGAGAAAACAGUCCCAACAAGAUUGCUUGCUCCAAAAUCGAAGAGGCACCGUCCUCCGAAUCUCGAGAGCCAGACUCCCAACAUGACUACUUUCUCAAAAUCGAAGAGAGGGUAAAGGAACAGUACCAUUGCUGGAUAAUUGGAAAGUCCCUGUGUGUCAACCUUUGUGCUUCGUGGCAAGGUAGACUAGCAAACAUGUCCAACCUUUACUCACAUUCGAGACAACACUCCCAACAAGAUUGCUUGCUCCAAAAUCGAAGAGGCACCGCCUUCCGAAUCUCGAGAGCCAGACUCCCAACAUGAUUACUUCCUCAAAAAUCGAAGAGACACUGCUCUCCGAAUCUCGAGAGUCAGACCCCCAGCAUGAUUGCUUUCUCAAAAAUCGAAGAGGCAUCGUUCUCCGAAUCUCGAGAGCCAGAUACCACAGACCACUUUUUCAAAGUGCUCUGACAGAGUUAAAACAUGUGAAACUGGCAGCUCCCACUACCGUGCUAUGACCAAGCAGGGUAAAGGAAUAACAUUACUACUUGUUGUUAGGGAGACUCCUAUAUAUGUCGACCUCCAUCCCAACGGACAGGCAGACCUGCAAAAAUGCUCAACCCUUCAUCAUAUCUGAGAUGGCACUCCCAACAAAGCCUUUCGAAAUAUUCAGCUUUCUUUCCCCCCGAUAAUACCUCUGCAAACAAGCUAUACUAGAGCAAGAAUAUCUCAUAUCAUCAGGGUUAAAAGCAAGAGUAUCCCAUAUCAUGCUUUUUCCCUGUUUUUUCUUUUGGCCUUGUUUUUACCUGCAAGACAAGGAGAAAGAGAGCAAUAUGUCAGCACUUGGAAUCAAGCUUCCAGCCAGGAACUGACUGCCUGGAACCCCUUACCUGAUUACUUACCUGGCAUUGCUCUCGAGUACUCAUCUUCAUCAUCUUAUGUUUCCAGGGAAGAUUCCGCAUCUGCUUGAGGAACAGAUAGGGCAAGUGCGAAGGAUACAAGGAAGCAUGUGGAGACAAGCGUAACAGCACACGUGCCGAUACAUCCAUUACUCUGUCAAAAGCAAAAGUAUCCCAUAUCAGCAGGGUGGAACGUACUCUAGAUUUGAUGGACUUGUUUUGACCCUCAAAUUCUUCAGUCGGCCUUAUACUCUGGAGGAAACCAGAAAACCCUCCAGCUGAGUUCAAGAAUAAGCCUGUGGAAAGUUACUUCUUCAAAAGCAAAAGUAUCUCAUAUCAUCUCUUCUCAUUUUUCUUCUCUUUAUCCUUCAUGCUGCUGCAAGAUGGGGAGAAGGUGAACAAUCAGUCGGAGCUCUGAUUGCUUACCUUGUCUGUCACCUCUUUCAGCAGACCCCUAGCUCGGCCCCCUAGCUUCGGCGACUUGGGGGACUCCUACUACAUGGUUUGUAUCGCACUUGACCAAGCCUGAAACUACAAGUAAGCUUCAAGUGAAAUUGAUACAUUACCUUGUGCAUCUCCACCAGUUAAAGAUACCACCCCUGGAUGGAGGAAGAGUACUUCCAGAGAAGAUGCCACAUCUACCUAUGAGACAGAUAAGGCAAGUCAAGACGACACCACACUCCGAUACUUAGAAGUUUCGUGAUUACGAGAUCAUUCUCCCACAAUAUUUCCUAAUGUCAUUUGUACUAAAUCAUUCACUCGUACUCACUAAAGGAGAGCUUGAACCUAUGUACUUGUGUAAACCCUUCACAAUUAAUGAGAACUCUUCUAUUCCGUGGACGUAGCCAAUCUGGGUGAACCACGUACAUCUUGUGUUUGCUUUCCUAUCUCUAUCCAUUUAUAUACUUAUCCACACUAAUGACCGGGAGCAAUCUAGCGAAGAUCACAAAAAGCGACCGUUUUCGUUACCUAGGAUCUAUCUUGCAAGAGAACGGAGAAUUAGAUGGAGAUCUCAACCAUAGAAUACGAGCUGGAUGGAAAGAGUGCAUCCGGCGUGUUGUGUGACCGUCGUAGGCCACUGAAGCUCAAGGAAAAAUUUUAUAGGACGGCAAUAAGGCCAGCGAUGUUGUAUGGCAGAGAAUGUUGGGUGGUGAAGCAUCAACACAUACACACAAAAUGGGUGUAGCGGAGAUGAGGAUGCUUCGUGGGAUGUGUGGGCACACGAGAAAGGAUAAGAUUGGGAAUGAGGAUAUCCGAGGUAAAGUAGGAGUAGCCGAAAUUGUAGGAAAGAUGAGAGAAAAUCGGCUCUGGUGAUUUGGACAUGUGCAAAGAAGGCCGACUGACGCUCCGGUUCGAAGAUGUGACUACGGGACAGAGGUUCAGGGCCGAAGGGGUAGAGGAAGACCUAGGAAAACUUUGGAAGAGACUCUAAGAAAAGACUUAGAGUACUUGGAUCUAACGGAGGGCAUGACACAAAACCGAGCGCAAUGGCGUUCUAGGAUUCAUAUAGCCGACCCCACUUAGUGGGAAAAGGCUUUGUUGUUGUUGUUGUUGUUGAAUGGGUCAAGGUUGAUGUGGUAAGGAAUUUAUGGACAGUUGGACAAACACACACACACACACACACAUAUAUAUAUGUAUUAGUCCACCCUAUACGUAUUCUUUUGUCAAGCAUCUCCAAAGUUCUACCAUCUUAGAUACUGAUUGUUUUUCAGAAAUCAAACAUGCAAAAUUUCUAUGCAUGUUUUAAAAUUGGUUGUAGGAAGUAGGCUUCUAAGUGGAUAUUCUGUGUGAAGGUUGUUUUGGUCAGAUAUGCAAUAGAAAUUUGCAUCAUUGGGGAGUCUGGUGUCUAUCAAUGUUUAAUGGGCUUCUAGCUUUAAAACCCCACUAUUAGCAAGCAAGGCGAGGCUUAAAUUGUGGGUCAUAUGGUUGGUUAUUGAUUUUUUCUCAUGACAAUUCCAAUGUUUCUUUACGUAGAGCUCAUGAUUGUAUAUCAUGGGUUUCCAAUAAUAAAAAAAGCUUAACACACACGAUAAGAUAGCUUCCACUUUGUUAAGGUGUUUUCUUUUCUCAAUAGCAAUGAACCAUGCAGCCUACAUUUAUUUAUUUGAGAAAACUUUAGAAUUAGUCUUUGAAAUUUUUACUCUAGCAUCUCUUCAAGAAUAAAAGAACAAUUACCAAAUUAAAUCCCUAUAGACAUUGCUUAUAUCUUCAUCUCCGUAAGACCCUAAUCCAGAAUUCCCAGGGAUGCAAAAGAUUCCACAUAUGUUUGGUCAUUUUGCUAAAUUUCAUUAGAUUUGGCCCUCAAAUUUGAAAAAAACUUUCAUCUUGCUGUAAAUUUAAAUCUUUUCUCUCUGUGUUGGUCCAUCUCCUUAUAUUUGAAAGUCUCAGAAUUACUAAUAUUUAUUGUGUUUAGGAAUUUCAGGAUUUUGGAUUUUGGUUGGUUUAGGUUGCUGCAGAUGGGGGCUUUGGAUGUAAGGCGAUGGUUGGCAGACACUGAAAGGUUGAUUACCCUCCUUAUGGAAGGGACUUUGUGAACCUGCCUACUGGAAGGUUUUGCAAUGGCUGGUAAUUAACAAUAUUACCAUUUAGAUGCCUUCAGUUGUUCUUAUUGAAAGUAUUUAGUUGAAUUUUACUAUUUACAGCAAACCAUAUAAACAAUGAUAUGUAAUUCUAAGAGGAGAGAUUUAAUGGCAUUACCAUGUUUUUAGUUCGAUUCAAUGAUGCAAACUGUUAAUAUUAUUUUUGCGCAGAAUUAAUUUUCCAAAUUCACAUGACGGUGUUAAAAUUGAGAAUUGUUAAAAUAAUAUGAUUUACUUGGAAUCUGACGGUGUUAAACUGCAGCAAAUAAAUUUUUCCUAUUGUAUUGAAUUUUCGAAGGGCUUCCUUUCCACUUUUGAUAACUCGGCAGCUGCAAGCAAAGCGGAGAGUUUUUUUAUUCAAGAGCAACAAUCCAAAACAAUUUCCAUGGGAAGAGUCAUGGAUUCCUAUUUCUUAGCUCUCACUGCCAUUGUCACUGUAACACUGUCUCUCUCUCUUCCUUUGAAAGAUGAAUCUGAAUUUUUGAGCCCUGAUUUGUUAGUUACGCAGUCCUUGGAACGAAAUACAAACACAACUCGACAAAAGGUCUUCAUGUUGUCCCACAUUGGAGGAUUAUUAUAAAAUUUAUUAACUUUAUUAGGGUUUACAUUAGGCUUUUGAUCUCCAAAUAAUUCUUUAAAUUUGGUUCCCUUAUGGCUUGGAUAUGCAUACAAUCAUCGUUUGGAAUUUGGUUUUGAUUGCAAAUUUGGAAUUUGGUGUUUAUAACAUUUGAUUUUCUCGGAUUUUUUUACAUGUUUUUGUGGUGAUACAGGGGACGAAUUCUAGGAUGGAGGUGAAAGGAUUUGGAAGAAUCAGGUAUGCCUAUUCAUUCGCAAGGUGAUUGUUUUACAACUUAAAAUACCGUGCAAGUUUAUUUCACUAACAUUGCAUUGGUUUUUUAAUUUGAUAUGUUGUUUUGGUGUGUGACAAUCGAAGAACUUUUAAAUGUUUGCGAAUUUGGUUGACACUUAAGUGCUAUUCAUUUUGGUCAAGGCUUUGGUUUGUGGCCAGUUGGAAUUCAUUUUGCUAAAAUAAGAUAAAUUUUUUUUUGAGCAAAUUUGGGGUUUUGUUAGGUGUGGGGUUCUUUUGGCCUAAUUUUUUUUUAAUUGAUUUGGGGAUUUGUUUUGUUUGGUUUGCUAAGAUUUGGUUCCCUAAAAUUAGUUUUACAUGCAAUAAGAAUACUGCGGAUCAAAUUGUAGGUCCAAACAUCCCACUUUCGUUUGGAUGGGUUGGACAUCUUUUAGUUUAUGAAAGCAUCUUUGAAGGGAUCAAUUAUUUUUCUUCUUUUGUGGUUGAUUGAGGUGGGUUAUAGGAAUAAGGUGACGUUUUAGAGUUGAAAUUGUUUGUGUUUUUUGUGAUGCUCUUUCCUUUUCUUCUCAGUGAAAAAACAUACUAAAGUAACAACGCAAUAGUGGUGAGAAUAAGCAUUCUCAUGUAUCUAUGGAUGUGUGAUAUGAAUUAGGUGGAUGAUGUUGAAGCAUCAGUCAAUAAAAAACAAAUAGGAUCUUAGAUAGGAUUUUUUGCCACUGUAUCUUUUGUAAUCAGAUCGGUUGAAUGUAUAUAAAAGCCGAACUGCUUAUUUUACCGACACCUUUCACUCAUCUAUCCCUUUUGUUUGUUCAUGAUUAUGUUGAAUUUUUUUUUUUGAAGUUAAAUGUCUUAUACGUGUGGAUAAGACUGGUGCAUUCAAAUCCCGCGGCAACGCGCGGGCAUUUUUGCUAGUGAUCACUACAACUAAAUCUUACGGGCUAGAAAUUAGUAUUUCCAUCGAUUGGGAGUGAAUAUUCCAUUGGUGAAAUUUGGAAAUUAAACUCUCAUAUUCCCUCACAAAACAGGCAAUCUAAACAAACUGUAUUACCUUGUGAAGGGAUUCAAGCUCCUCGAGUGCGGCUUCCGAUUUUGGUACCUUAAGUGACCCUGCGUGAAUCUUUCCCAAAGCAUAACAAUGCCCUUUUUAUGCAAACUAUAACAAGACAUAAUGGUUAUAAGAGCAAUUCCACCCCUAAACACUUUGCGCCAGCACCUAGCGCAUUUAUCCACUCAAAUGAACAGUAAUAGAUCCCAGUGAAAAGUAAUAGGUCAAAACAUCUCCACCUCUAAAAAAAUGCCCUAGCACCCAGUCUAAAAAUGUGCUGGCACAAACGAUCUCCACCCUAUAAAAUGCGCUGGCAUCCAGCCCAUUUAAAAUAUUUUAUAUUUUUUUUAUAAAAGUACAAUUUUUUUUUUAAGUUUAUUUGGUGAGGUUAUGUAAUCUUAUUUGAUGUGUAUAAAUAAAGUACAAAAAAAAAUUGAAAUUGCAUAAAGUUUUAAAAAUAAAUAAGAAAUUACAUAAAGUACUAAUAAUAAAUAAGAAAUUACACAAAAUAAGAAAUUACAUCUAUAAAUAAAAAUAAAUAAGCAAUUACAUAAAGUACUAAUAAUAAAUAAGAAAUUACACAAGAAUUUAAAUAAAGUACUACAAAUAAAUAUGAAAUUAUACAAAGUCUCUGGAACUAGGAUAUGUGGUGCUAGGAUCUUCGUUGCUAGGAUUUGUGUAGCUAUAACCCCCUCGACUUGUUUCCGCAUCUCUUUCACGCCUCAUUCGCACGAUGUCUCUUUUUUCCGAUGUCCAAAAAUAUUUUGAAUUCGGAGACAAUCCUACUAGAGACUUGUUCAUAAUGUCACGAUCUGCUUGAGCUAUCAUUUCUUCUCUAAGCAUCUCAUUUUCUCGAUUAAGUGCUUCUCUAAUCAUCUCGUUCUCUCGAUUAACUAUUUCUCUUUGUCUCUCAACCGCCGCAUCACGUCUCUCAGUAGUUGCUAAUAUUGCUGCCAUAACAUUAACUUUUUCCUCAUCUCUAGCCGCUUCCGUGCCAUGUUCAGUUCACCUUGGCAAGCAAGUUCCUCCAUAUAUUUAGUGUAGUCAUUUUUGGAAGAACUACCUUUUUUCUUUGAUGCCUUUUUACCUUGAGCCCUGAGGGACUGACGAGUCGGUUGGGUCUCCGGUACUUCUUCAGGCGUCCCUUCCAUGUCUUCAAAUGUCUCGCCUUCUUGUUCAACCGUGUCUGCUUCUGGCGAACUGUGUAGACACAUGCCGUGCGUGACAACUUCUGGACCGGUUGCCACAAUUUUGUAUCUGGGGCAAUCUUUGACAAUUUCCCAACAUUCCCAUCUAUUGAAUGAUUUGUUGGUUCUUCGCAUUGUAGAAAGCUUGUGCUUGUAGUGUCUAUAAAUGUGGGAUAAGACAGUAUUAUAAAAAAUGUGGGUGUAACACCUAUAAAUAAAUUAAAAUAUUGAUGCGGGUGGAAUACAUAUAAAUAAAUAAAAAUAUGGUCACCUAAUCCGCUAAACUCGUCCCACUACGUAGACUACCGGAAGCAUGAGAGAUGGCGUUUUUCCAACAAGUAAAGGAUGCGUUGAGUUUUUUCCAACGACCAUGAAGACCUACAUUUUUUUAUUCCAUGUACAUCACAAAACGCUUUCCUAAUUUUACUCCACAUUUCUCGCUUAUCCAUCUCAUUACUCGUAAUCGGGUCAUGAGUUGUGUGAACCCAACAUUCGCACAAUGUAACAUCUUCAAUGACCUUCCACGUAGACAUUUUUUUCUUUCAAAGUGUAGAAAAUAUUGAAAUGUAGAAAGUAUAGAAAAUAUUGAAAUGUGGUGUAAGGUGGAAGAUGAGGGUUAGGUAUUUAUAGAAUUUUUUUUUUUAAUUUUCUGUAUUUUUUAAUAAUUUAUUUGUAUUUUUUCGUAAUUUUUAAUAAAUUUUAAUGUAGUUUGUUUUGUAUCAUACUUGAUCAAUCCCGAAACUACUAAGCACAAGUCAACGUUAUAUCGUCAAUGAUCCAUAAGAGUUUCCUUCCAACCAAGAGGCCAAUCACAGCGUGACACGUGUCGAUAUCAAAGGCCAAUCAUAGCGCGACACGUGUCAACAUCAGAGGCCAAUCACAGCACAACAUGUGUCAAAGUCAGAUCAAAGUUAGAAACUCUCUUCUAUAAAAGGAGAUCAUUAUCUCACAAUAUUUCCUAAUGUCAUUUGUACUAAACCAUUCACUAGUACUCACUAAAGGAGACCUUGAACCUAUGUACUUAUGUAAACCCUUCACAAUUAAUGAGAACUCCUCUACUCCGUAGACGUAGCUAAUCUGGGUGAACCACAUACAUCUUGUGUUUGCUUCCCUGUCUCUAUCCAUUUACAUACUUAUCCACACUAGUGAUCGGAGCAAUCUAGCGAAGGUCACAAACUUGACACUUUCUGUUAUACCAAAGUCCUCGCUAAUUUUGUGCAUCAAUAUUUGGCGUCGUCUGUGUGAAAUCGCACUUAUUCCUACUCUCUUCAGCUUUGUCAAGAUGGUUUCCACCAUUGGUACACUCUCUUUUAACUAGACAUUCCUCUUCAACAUGGGGAGCGAAGGAAGCCACAACACGCAGAACGACACCCCCUCACCUAGUGUGAAGCAAUGAAAGAAACUCGUUCUUCAAGCUAAAGUUGAGGAGCUAGAAGCUCAGAACAACAAGAUAGCAAUAAAGAAUAAGAUCCUUCAAGAACAAUAUGAGAAGCUCUUUGAGACGCUCCAUGAAACUAGGUGUACUCAAACACGCGAGCUUGUUGCCCCUGUGGACAUCAACCAUCAUCUGGGUGCCCCACAACACGAAAGGUCACCUUCAUUCGACAUAGGUAUCCCUGAUGAGGAGCGAGCUAAUCAUCAAAACAUUGAUCAACAUGAGACUUCUCUCAACCCAGCUAUUUCGACCCCAAGCAUGAGGAGUGGAGGAAGACACCUCUUUGCAGAAGGGUUAGAAGAAUCGAAAGUCAUUUAUCGUGACUGCCGAGACUUCCUAAAGCAACGUUGAGAUAAUCUCAUCCACAUAAGCUCGAAGAUCAAUGACCCAAGGGUUUAUGAAAAAACUCAGUCCCCUCCCACGACCCAGGCCAACUGCCAAUCUAGGGAAAGAACGACAGAUCCCAGAGGAACAGGAAGGUACAGGGGACUUGGAGGUAUUCCGACAGACUCGCCCUAGAAGUCAGUACAAUAAUUCCAAGGAAAAACCACACGCUCUUGCUCAAACUUUCCUACUUCCAAGAGGCGAUGGAGACUUAUAGAAGAAAAUUCCAGUGGUACAUGACUCCACUCAAGACCCCAUUGUCCUAUAACUCCUUGAGGAAGUAAACAAGUUGAAGGCCGAACGUCAGGUCGAGAUACCUGACUGGAACCAACUCAGGCCUAGCCCUCUCACAAAGAGGAUCCUCGACACCCCCUUCAAGCGAAGACAAAACAAAAGCUUGGUUUACAACUCUAUACUAGAAGGGAGGACACGAUUGAACACCUUAACCCCUUUGAGUCCACCUUGGCAUAUCAGAUGCACACCGACGAAGAGCAUUGUCUUUUCUUCCCUUCCACCCUAUCUGGCGAAGCUCUAAAUUGGUAUUGCCGUCUUUCACCCGAGAUAGUAAACUCAUUUGAGGAACUAAGGAAACUGUUUGUCUCUCAACACAUCUUCCAGACCGAUCGCUUACAUUUUGCAGAUGACUUGUACACUAUUCACUAAAAGCCGGACGAGUCACUACGAGAGUAUAUUGGUCGCUUCAGCCGUGAGUAUUCUCGCUGCGCUGAGGCAGAUGACAAGACCGCCUUCAAAGCCUUCAAUGCAGGCCUAUGUGAUUGUUUUUUCAAGUACAUGAUCAAUGCCAACACUUGGAAGACUUACUCUGAGCUGAUGGCACAGGCUUACAACCACGCCUCCGCCGAAGCAAUGACAUACCAAGGGAACCCCCAUAUGGUUAACCUCUAUCAACAAGUGGGAAGUGAAAGUCAAGUUCUACCAAGUGAGAAGAUCUUGGCCAUUCAGAUACCCAUUGCAUCAUCUCCUGCCUCAUUUAGCUACUCGCUAAGUCACCAAGCGUAUUUGUCUCUUGGUAAGAAGAAUGAUUUUUAUUCUCAGCAAGCCCAUUACAACAAGAGGGAUAAAAGUUCGUAUCAAGACAACCAGUGGUGAACGUACUAUCGACUAUUAUGACUAUAGGGCCAAGCCUCAUUCUUUCAAAGUCGAGAACUAGGUAUUAAAGGAAAUGCUAUUAUAAGAAGGCAUACUCAUUACAAAUGUUUUGACCCUCAACCAUUUAAGAUCUUUUGUCACACAAGCCAUUCAGCAAAUAUUUAAAGAAAAGGGAAUUCAGACAACUUCUUCUGAGUCUUUUGCAUUCCUAGCACUGGAACACUUGGUCUACGCAUACCUACCUCUAUACUCUAACUCAGAGCUUCAACAUGUGUACUUUGACAAAAAGUAUGUGAUACUAAGUGUUACAACCAACAUGGUUCACAUAUCGAAAACAUGGAUCCUUUCAUGCAUAACAAAGCAUUCAUAAGCAUCACUCAUGUCAAUCAACAUAAACAUCAUACAUUCCAACACAUUCAUCCAUAAACAUCAUACAUGCCAACACAUUCAUCCAUAAACAUCAUACAUUCCAACACAUCCAUACAUAAGCCAAUUGUGCUUUGAAAGGGUUUAACACACUUUGUGUCAUUUGACACUUGCUACAAUGUGCCUUGACACCUUGCCCUUAUUCUCACCAACUAAGUGAUGAAGGAACUCACCUUCAUGCCACAAACCAGGUGAUAAAAUGUACAACCCGUACUCUAAUAUUAUUUGGUAACUUGCCACUCUUAUCACCAACCAGGUGAAGAAAGAACUCACCUUCGUGCCACCAACCAGGAGAUGAAAUGUACAACUCGCACUCUGAUAUUAUUUGGCAACUUGCCACUAUUAUCACCAACUAGGUGAAGAAGGAACUCACCUUCGUGCCACCAACCAGGUGAUGAAAUGUACAACCCGUACUCUAAUAUUAUUUGGCAACUUGCCACCCUUAUCACCAACCGGGUGAAGAAUGAACUCAUCUUCAUGCCACCAACCAGGUGAUGAAAUGUGAUGAAGGAACUCACCUUCGUACCAUCAACCAAGUGAUGAAAGCAACUCACCAUUCAUUCCACCAACCAGAAGAUAAAUGGUACAACUUGUACAUGUGAACUCCUAGCAUUCACAAAUAAUCAAAAACCCUCAAGCUUUACAACUCAACUAAGAGAGCACUUAUGCCUAACAAGAUUUAUAGUCACCAACAAAGUCUUAUUACAAGCUAACAACGGCUUAAGUGCAUGGUAUACGAAGAUCAAGCUCUUCAGCCCUCUUGCAUCUGCUUCAGACAUUUCUCCUCUGUAACAAUGCAAACACUACAACUCGUAGAAAGCUUCACACACUCUUAAUCAAGACUGUUCGAAGCAAAUUCAAUUUAUAUGGUUGAUCCAAACCUUCGACUACUACAAGGUGUGGCUUGCACCACAAUCUCUUGCUUAACAGUGUGGAAGCAAAAUUUGUAUAUGUUGUCUCUCCUACAUUUUCAAAUUUCUAGUUUUCCCAGAAAAAAAAAAUGGGAAAUUCAACAACUUCAACAAAUGGAGGGCAACUACAAAUUCCAAAAGCUUCACACACUCUUGAUCAAGAUAGUGUGAAGCAAAAUCAAUUCAUGGUACCCAACAAAGCUUCACUACAAAGCUUCACCACAAAAGCUUCACCACAAAAGCUUCACCAACAAAAGCUUCAACAAAUGGAUGAGAACUACAAAUGUCAAAAGCUUCAUACACUCUUGAUCAAGAUAGUGUGAAACAAAAUCAAUUCAUGAUACCCAACAAAGCUUCAACCUUCAAAGCUUCACUACAAAGCUUCACCUCAAAGCUUCACCACAAAGCUUCACCUACAAAGCUUCAACCUUAAGAGCUUCACUACAAAGCUUCACCUCAAAGCUUCACCACAAAACUUCAACCUUCAAAGUUUCACCUCAAAGCUUCACCACAAAGCUUCAACAACAAAGCUUCACCUACAAAGCUUCAACACCAAAGCUUCAACUACAAAACUUCAACAUCAAAGCUUCACCUAUAAAGCUUUAAAAAUAUAUAUUUUUGUUCAAAAAUUCGAAGAAAAAAAAAUUCGAAAAUUCAAAAAUUCAAAAAAAAUAAAAUAAAAUUAAGGCCUAGGCCUCCCCUUCUUUGGACCUAACAACUUUCAUAACAAAUAUAUAUGAAUGAGGAGUUUUGGGCUACCACUUAGAAAGGAAAAUGGUGAAGUUUUGUUACUUUGGAAACUUGGCUACUAGCAAGACACCUCAUUCGUCAACUCCCUCAACUGAGGACUUGGGGGACUCCUACCAUAUGCUACUGCACCUUGAUACUCAGAAGUCUCACGACCAUUUAGUGACUUGGAUUUUUCAAGUUUCCAACCGAGAAAUUUUCCUUACUCGGGAAAUUAAGGGAGCACUAUUUCAACCUACAGGAUCCACCCACGAAGUUUCAACAUGCAAACUUCAACAAAAUAAAAAAUUCAAAGAACUUAGUGAAGGAUGCCUUAGUGUAUUUAACAUAAUACGCUGAAUGAAGUAAAAUUUAUUUAUUGAUAUCUCUCAUAAAUUACAAAUAUAUGCAUACACAUGCAUCAAAACAAACGAACAAAAGGGAGCCUUCACAAAGGUUGCUCAGGAGAAAUCUCAACAGUCGACAGAGCCCCAGAAAAAUGAGGCACCAAAGGGUGAUCAUUUGGAGCUUCAUUACGCGGUACAGCCCCAAAAGACGAAGGUAAUAAAUGCCUUUAGAACAAAUCCAUAAACCUCUGAUGAUCAAGUAAAAUUUGACCAUCAGAUUCCUGCAACUAGUUAAGCUUCCUCUUCAUGUUUGUAGCAUAGUCAUAUGCGAGCCUAUGCAAUUAUUUAUUCUCAUGCUUGAGCCAUCUGAUCUCCUGUUUGAGACUUAUCACUUUAGCCGCCAAUGAUUCAGCUUGGCGGGUUCGAGCAAAUAGGCGUUGGGCCAUAUUAGACACAGAACCUGCACACUGAACACUAAGAGCCAGAGAAUCCUUAACAGCCAACUCAUCAGACCGUUUGGAAAGUAAUCUGUUAUCUUUGGGAGUGAAAAGGUUCAUGGCCACCACCGCAGCGAUCAUAUCAUUCUUUAUCACAGAGUCCCUAACGGUAAGAGGACCAAUAGGGGAUAAGAAGGAUGGGCGCCAUAUGUUGUCUUGAGGAGGCAUGGCUGCCUCUUCACCAAAGUUCAAGUUAAAACGACGGUCGAAUGGGCCAGACAUUUUCAGAAAUGAUGAAGGAGAAAUGAGGUCCAAUAAAUCUAUGAAGUACGAAAAUAAAGGGAAAAUUCCUGCAAGUAAUAACUCUCUGAACAUACUUCUUGCACACAAUUGGUGCCCUUAUAAAAGAAAGGGCAUCAGACCCGUUUGUUCAAAAAUCGAAGAGGCACCACUCUCCGGAUUUCGAGAAGCAGAUUUUCCUGAGUAAAAUAUGUUGACAAUCCCCACACGCAACAUCAGCUCCUCGGGUACCACAGAUAACUUUGCCAAAGAUCUCUGACAAAGUUCAGACACAUAAAUUUUGAAGGUUCAGCUACCUUACCAUUACCCAUAAGGGUAAAGGAACAACAUCAUUGCUUGAUAACUGGAAAGUCCCUAUGUGUGUCAACCUCCGUGCUCCGUGGCAAGGUAGACUUGCAAAAAUACCCAACCUUUACUCACAUCGAGAAAACACUCCAAUUAGGAUUGCUUUCUCAAAAAUCGAAGAGGCACCGCUCUCCGAAUCUUGAGAGCCAGACUCCAACCAGGAUUGCUUUCUCAAAAAUCGAAGAUGCACCGCUAUCUAAAUCUCGAGAACCAAACUCCCACUAGGAUUGCUUUCUCAAAAAUCGAAGAUGCACCACUAUCCGAAUCUCGAAAGCCAGACUCACAACAGGAUUGUUUUCUAAAAAAUCGAAAAGGCACCGCUCUAAAUCUCAAGAGUCAGAUCCUCAAUAGGAUUGCUUGUUUAAAAAUUGAAGAGGCAAUGCUCUCCGAAUCUCGAGAGCCAGAUCCCCAAUAUGAUUGAUUGUUCAAAAAUCGAAGAGGCACAGCUCUUCGAACUUCGAGAGCCAUAUUUCUUUGGAUAAAAUUUGUCUGCAAUCUUCACAUGAAACAUCAGCUUUCCAAAUACCACAUACCACUUUUUCAAAGUGCUCUGACAAAGUUAAAACACAUGAAUCUUGCAGCUCCCACUACAUUGCUAUGACCGAGAAGGGUAAAGGAACAACGUUACAUCUCGCUGUUGGAACAAUUCCUAUAUAUGUCGACCUCCAUCCUCCACAGCCAGACAGACCUGCAAAUAAAAAAAAAAGCUCAACUUUUCUUCACAUCCGAGAGGGCACUCUCAGCAGAGUCUCUCAAAAUACUCAACUUUCCCCCCUGAUAAUACCUCUGCAAACAAGCCACACCAGAGCAAGAGUAUCUCAUAUCAUCAGGGUUAAAAGCAAGAGUAUCACAUAUCAUGCUUUUUCCCUGUCUUUUCCUUUGCCCUUGCUCUUACUUGCAGGACAAGGAGAAAGAACACAAUCAGUCGGAACCUGAAAUCAAACUUCCGAUCUGGAAUUGAUUGCCCGAAAUGUUUGCAUGGUUGCUUGCCUAACAUUGCUCUCGAGUACUCAUCCUUAAUUGUUGUCAAGGUCGCGAAUUCUUUCGGCAAAUACCUCAGAACAGUUGAUACAAUAUUGGCUCUUCACACUGAAGUUGCCAAGCAUGGAUGAGUCGCUGAGAAGUAGUGCUUUGAAUGACCAUUCAAAUGCAAAGGUUGCGCACCACUUAUGCGAUGCAAAAGAUUGAAGCAGAAGGGUUAACGAUGAGCUGAAACAGAUCACUAUAGCACGACGCGCUCCUUGCAGAACCGCAUAAUCCAAACGAAUGAGUCUAAGUCAAAUCUAAGCUCGACAUCGUUGCCCUAUCCGAAUAGCUCGAGAAGCUUCAACAACCUUUCGCUGACAUUGUUGCCAAAGAGCAAAGCCUCUUCAUGCCACAUCCACUACUUUGUCAACAACAAAAGUAUCCCAUAUCAUCAAGGUCGAACGAACUCUUGAUUUGAUGGACUGAUUUUGAUCCUCAAAUUCUUGAGUUAGCCUUAUACUCUGGAGGAAACUAGAAAACCCUCAAGCUCAAUUCAAGAAUAAGCCUGUGGAAAGUUACUUCUUCAAAAGCAAAAGUAUCUCAUAUCAUCUCUUCUCCUUUUUCUUCUCUUUAUCCUUUUUGCUGCCUGCAAGAUAGGGAGAAUGAGAAUAAUCAGCUGGAACUCGAAAUCAAACUUCUGAUUUGGGAUUGAUUGCUUGGAACUCUAAUUGCUUACCUUGUCUGUCACCUCUUUCGGCAAAUCCCCUCGCUCAGACACUUGGGGGACUCUUACUAUAGGGUUUAUAUCACGCUUGACCAAGUUCGAAACUACAAGUAAGCUUCAAGUGAAAUUGGUACAUUACCUUGUGCAUCUCUAUUGGUUAAAGAUACCACCCUUGGAUGGAGGAAAAGUACUUCCAGAGAAGAUGCCACAUCUACCUAUGAGACAUAUAAGGCAAGUGAAAACGAUACCAUACUUCGGUACUUAGAAGUUUCGUGAUUACUCAGUGGCUUGGAUCUUGCAAGUCCCUAACCGAGGAGCUUCCCUCACUCGGGAACUUAAGCAAGCACUGUUUGUACCAUACUUGACCAAUCCUGAAACUACUGAGCACCGAUCAACGUUAUAUCGUCAAGGAUCCACAAGAGUUUUCCUCCAACCAGGAGGCCAAUCACAGCAUGACACAUGUCGACAUCAGAGGCCAAUCAUAGCGCGACACAUGUCAACAUCAGAGGCCGAUCACAGCACGACACAUGUCAAAGUCAGAACAAAGUUAGAAACUCUCUUUUAUAAAAGGAGAUCAUUUUCUCACAAUAUUUCCUAAUGUCAUUUAUACUAAACCAUUUACUAGUACUCACUAAAUGAGAGUUUGAACCUAUGUACUUGUGUAAACCCUUUACAAUUAAUGAGAACUCCUCUACUCCGUGGACGUAGCCAAUCUGGGUGAACCACGUACAUCUUGUGUUUGCUUCCCUGUCUCUAUCCAAUUACAUAUUUAUCCACACUAGUGAUCAGAACAAUCUAGCGAAGGUCACAAACUUGACACUUUCUGUGUUACCAAAGCCCUCGCUGAUUUUGUGCAUCAACAUAGUUAAUUAAUCUAGACCGUUAGAUUUGAAAAAUAUUCAAAUCCAAGAGCCAAGGAGCUGCCACGUGGCCAAUGGUCAUAAUUUUGACCGUUGGGCCUUUUUAUUUUUAUUUUUGGGGAAAAAAUGUGGACCGUUGAUAUAUGAUCGACGGUCCAUAUUAAAAGUAAAAUUUAAAUUUUUUUACCGUUGGAAAUCCAACGGUCUAGAAAAAUUAGCCGUUAGAAAUCCAACGGCACUGAAAGGGCCACAUCGCCUACUUCCGAGUGAAGAACAAAUGGGUUGGCAGCAGGCCUCGCUGCCUGCACCCAUGUCCCUUACUCGCGCCCACUCGCGAGUGAACUGCACACGCCAGCCAAAUAGUCCAAUCUCUGGGUCUGUCAAAAAAUGGGCUAGUCUGUUACCUGGCUUGGGUUGGGUGCCAAGCAAGUUUGUGGGCUAGAGUGAAUGGACUGAUCCCCAGCUUGGUUUUUUGACUAGGUGCCGGCACAUUUGCACCCCAGUGGAAGUGCUCUAGUGGUUACCGGUAAAGAAUAAACAACAUGCAACACUCGAGAACAGUAUUUUAAUGUCACCUCCGUAAGGCUCUAAGCUGAAAUUUCAUCAUCCAUGUCAAGUGGGCUGCAAAUUGCAAUGAUAAUAAAUCUAAAUCGGUCAAAGUUUAACACAAAAACACUUAAGUUUAGAAGAUAUGCAUUAUGGUGAUAAUCAAUUUAUUCUGAGCACUGUCAGUUUAACAAAAAAAAGUCUAAGCAUGUUAUAUCCAGUUGCCAAGAAAAAAAAGAAGAAGAGUAAACCGUCAAUUUGCCCCCUGAACUAUCAUCCAACUUUCGAUUUUCCCCCUAAACUUUAAUUGGAAAAUUAAGGACUUAAUCUAAUUUUUUUGGCCGAUUUGUCCCCUACCGUUAGUUUUUCAUAGAUUUCAUCCAAAUUAACGUUAACUUUUAUCAUGAACAAACCACGUAACUCUCAUUUGUGGACAAAAACUUCACUUCACUAGACAUUCAGACACAAAAACUAUAGAAUCACACAUAUUUGCAUAUGUUUAUAUUUUAUAAAUCUAAGGUUUUCAAUUAUUUUAAAAAAUGAAACGACCGAAUUACCAACACAUGUUGUGUACAUACUUCUAUUUAACAGAAUUUUGGAUGGAAUGAAUGAAAAAUUAACAUCAGGGGCAAAUCGGCCAAAAAAAUUGGUUUAAGUCUUUAAUUUUUCAAUUAAAAAUUUCAGGGGAAAAAAUCAAAAGUUGGGUGAUAGUUCAGAAGGCAAAUCGGCACUCAAAAAAAAAAAAAACCAUCAACGCCACCUAAACUUUAAUUUUAAUUUUAAUUUUUUUUAGAAAUCUCAAACACAUUUCAUCCUGAUCUAAUUACCACACUAAGCAAUGCAGUCCAAAUAUAAACCAAAAUUCAACCAAAACAAUCAAAACCCACUAACAAAACACUUCACACAGAUCCAAUCAGAGCAAAAACCCAGAUUCAAUCACACACACAAACCCUCAAAUUAACACAACCCAGAUGCAAAAUCCCCAAAUUUAACUGAAACCCGCGGCUCAGAAGAAGGUAAAAGAUUACCUUGCCAUCGACGAUGAGGCAGCAGUCCUUGCGAUCAUUGUGAGUGGAGACGUCAGCCAAAGUGUAGACCUUUUUUAAGGGCCAGAUCCCAGACUUGUGGAUUUGGUGGAAGGGAUUCGGAGUCCUUUCCGUUGAAAAUCUCAUCUCCUCUCCUUUCAGCCCUUCAAGGAAAACUCACUUCUUGGGCCGUCUUCAACCACGUAAAGCUUCACUCUUUUAUUAAUUUUUGUGUUUAAAAUUGUUGGGGUUUGCAGUUUUGGAUUGAAAUUUGUGUUUUGGGAUUUGUUGGGUGCUCACAUGUGGAAAUUUGGAAAGUUUUAGUUGUGGAUUGUGGGGAACUGACGCAGUGGCGGUCCCAUUUCAUGUAAGUUGCUUUUGUUUUUCUGUUUUUGGUGAAAUAAUGAUGAGGAGGGUUGGAUAGUUGGACUGGUUUUAUUUUUUAUUGUGAAAUUAGAGUGGGAUCGAUCAAGGUUGAGACUUUUUUAGGUAAGUGUAAUUGUGAAAGUUAUGUUUCUACAAAUUUUUUGGCGAAUUUUGUGACUUGGUGGAUUUGGAAUUUUGGUUAUAUUAGAUAUAUGUGUAAAGAAAAUAGUUGAACUGCAUGAAGCUUGAUGUAAUUCUGGUUUUAAUCAAUGUUGGACUUGGGAAACCUAGUGAAUCUACUAUUAGUUGAGAAACUUAAAGGAGCUUGAGGGGUAAUGAGGGUUUUAGGUAUUUAGUAACAUUCAGGCCAUGCUUGAUGUCUAUUUGAUGUCAGCGUAUCGAAAAUGCUUGAACAAAGAAGAAAGGUGCUCGAAGAGCUGCAGUGGUUAACUACUUGGUUUGAUUAGAUUGCUAUGUUAAUCAAAAUGUCCCCUGUAGUAUGUUAUAGGGUUAAUGUUUUACAUAAGUGUUCUUUAGCGACUUGGUUUCAAAAUUUUCGUUUUCGUUUGACUUUCCUUGGUCUGUGAGGCCAAUGGUAGAAUGAUCAUGGAAAUUGUUUUGUCUUAAUAUCUCUGGUAAGAGCAGGCGUGCAUUCUUAAAGGACUUAGUUGUCAUUCUUUUAAGCUGUUUAAUGUGCUCAUUUCAGUAUGCAUCAUCCAAAGUCUAUAACUGCUAAAAGUAGCACUACAAGGGUGAUGGAACUAUCAUCUGUUUGGAAGUAAGAGCUAUAGACAUGCCCCAUAAGGGUCAAUAGGUCUCAGUUGCAUAUCUAACUUGUUUCUCAUUUGUUUUCAUUCCUGAAGGUUAGAAAAGAUGGGUGCUCUAGAUGCGCAGAGAGUGGUUCAUCAACACCAAGGUGGCGGCUGAUCUCAUGUAUGUGGUUACAUGCUGGAGUUUUCCACGUGCUUGCCAAUAUGCUGAGUCUUGUAUUCAUUGGAAUUUGGCUUGAGCAAGAAUUUGGAUUUGGUAUACAUCUGGAUUUUUAGCUUCAUGUAUGUUAUCAUGCAUGUAUGGCCACAUCCAUAAGUGUUUGUAGUAAAAGAUAAAGCACACGACAUAAGUUGUAGAAUAAUAAAUUACUUACCAAGUGCAAAACUUCUUUCAUAAAUCUAGAAGAGAAACACUUUCCGGAUGGCGUUAGCUACCUUGGGAUUAAUCUAUAGAGGAUUUCCUAUGCAUUUGUUUAUUGAAUUGCAAUCCUAGAGUAGUGGUCAUAUAGUACUGGUUGCGUUAUAACUUACACCGAUAUGUUGUUUGGUUUGAUGUAAACAAGAGGAUGUUUUAUUCAGCGGUGAGCAAAGAAAAGAGUUUAUACACCGAAUAUGGGGUUCAAACUUUAGUUUUAGACAUAGUAUUCCAUUUUACAGAAUAAAAUUGCUUGAAACAGAAGCUGAGAGAUUAUUUCAGUUUUCCAUCACAUUUGUGUGAACAAAGAUUGUUUUGGAUAUCCUGUACAUGUAGACAUGGCGCCUCAUUUUGAAAUGUUUCAAGAUGCUGUCUAUUUGAAAAGAUUGAAAAAAUAAUAGUUUGAGGCUGAUCUACAUCAUGUACAGUUGUUUUGAUGAACUGUUUUAACUAAUUGGUUUGAAAUUCUAAUGUUUUUCUGAUUUGUUCUUUGGCAGUUCGAAUUGGUUUCCUAUAUCUCAUGUCUGGUUUUGGUGGGAGUUUGCUUUCAGCUCUUUUUAUUCAAUAUGGUAUUUCUGUUGGUGCUUUUGGUGCACUUUUUGGUUUAAUAGGAAGCAUGCUUUCAGAGCUCACAUGAAAUUGGACAAUGUAUGUAAAUAAGGUAAAAAAAAUUCCGUAUACUCAAUGAUGCACCUCUUUAUAGUAUGUGCACGGCCCUUUGAUCUUACAGUUUCAGAUUUCGACCUGCAGUUAGCAGCAUUGCUUACUCUCCUUUUCAUCAUCAUAAUAAACUUAGCAUUGGAAAUUCUACCACACAUGGACAACUUUGCUCAUAUUGGAGGAUUUGUCUCCGGAUUUCUUCUUGGAUUUUUGUUUUUGAUCCACCCACAGUUUAAAUGGCUUACCCAAUGGAAUGCUCCCCCUUGACGUGUUACUACUCCAGUUAAAUCUAAACACAAGACGUAUCAAUAUGUAUUUCUGGGUCCUCUCUUUGAUACUAUUGAUUGUUGGGUAAGCUCCUCCUCAAUCUCUGAUUUAACUGUUUGACUUCAUGAACCUAAUCGACUCCAUGCAUGAAAAUCUGGUGGCCACAGUUGAAGUGUGCACAAUUUUUUUUUUAUCAAAUCAGAGAACUUGGGAGCAGCCUCUCCAUAAAUGGGGGUAAGGCUAGCCGACAUUCACCUCUCCCAGACCCUGCGUAAAGCGGGAGCCUUGUGCACUGGGUACGACCUUUAUCAAAUCAGAGAACUGGAUUUUGUGUAGAUAUGUAGAUAUCAUGUGUCCUGUAAUAUUUUCAUUGCGAAUAGGCUAUCUGCUUGUUUCUCAUCAGAAUGGUUUGGAGAAGGCAUUGUGUUAUCACUAUUCUUUGUGUAGUACUAAUUGAUCACUUUGUUGGUAGCGGCUUCUACUUUGUUGUUUUAGAUUGCAUAUGUUGGCAGUACUUUGAUGUUUUGUUAUUGGAAAUAAAGGUUCCUUUUCCUCGUAUUUGUGUAGUAUCAGUAUAUGCAAGCAUUUUCUGACAGAAGUCGUGUUUUUGACAGGUAUACUCUUGGCUUGGUUACUCUUUUUCGAGGGAGGAGGGGGAGGGCGUCAGGUAGUCGACAACCAGCACUCCAUGAUCAUGUCGAAUCCUUAUGAAAAUGAAUCCAGAACGAAAUUGCGCUAAAGCUAGGGCGUCACCCGUAAGUGGCGCGCUGUGUGGCCCGAGCACAAUGAUAAGUGAGCAAGGGUCGCUGUAUCUCCAUCGGCACCCGGAUGCAGUGGUAAAUGAGCAAGGGGGCUAUAGAAACUUCUUUUCGAACGACUCCACUCAAAGUUGUUUGGGAGCAUAUGCUCCUAUCAACUUUACACGGGACACACAAAAGAAGUACUUUGAUCCUAUUAGACGGGGAAGGGUGAAGAAGCUAGGACAGAAGGGUAGAGUUCAAGAGAGCAAAAUGCGUUUAGGAUCGUGGAAUAUAGGAACAUUGACGAGAAAAUCUAUGGAAGUAGUAGAAGUUAUGGUGAGAAGAAGGAUAAAUAUUAUGUGCCUACAAGAAACUAAGUGGGUUGGGCGUAAGGCAAAGGAUCUAGAAAACUCAGGGUUUAAACUAUGGUAUUCGGGCACAAAUAGAACGAGAAACGGUGUUAGCAUCAUCGUGGACAAGACCUUGACACAAGAUGUUGUAGAUGUCAAGAGGGUAGGAGAUAGAAUCAUGGCAAUCAAGAUUGUAAUAGGACAAGAACUUAUCAAUGUGAUUAGUGCGUACGCACCUCAAGUAGGGUUGGAUACGAGUUCGAAGGAGAAAUUUUGGGAAGAUCUUGGAGACUUGGAGCAAGGAAUUGCUCAGACGGAGAAGUUAUUUAUAGGAGGAGAUUUAAAUGGACACGUGGGCAGGGAGACAGGCAACUAUGGAGGUUUUCAUGGUGGCCAUGGUUUUAGGGAGAGAAACGAGGAUGGGGAAGCUAUCUUGGAUUUUGCAAUGACAUAUGAUCUCUUCUUAGCCAACACCUUCUUUAAGAAGAGAGAAGAACAUAUGAUCACCUACAAGAGUGGGUCGUCAAAAACACAAAUAGAUUUUCUUCUAAUGAGGAAAGGGGAUCGUAUAACUUGUAAGGAUUGCAAAGUUUAUACCAGGAGAGAGCGUGGCUAAUCAACAUCGCUUGUUGGUGAUGGAUGUACAUAUCAAAACGAGUGAGAAAAAAGAACAAGACUUGGAAGUGCCCAAGGACUAGAUGGUGGAAUCUAAAAGAAGAAAAACAAGUCAUUUUCAAAGAGAAAGUAAUCACCCAGUGUGUGUGGGAUAGAGAGGGGGAAGCUAACCAAAUGUGGGAUUCCAUGGCUAGUUGUAUCCGAAAAGUAGCAAAAGAGGUAUUAGGAGAGUCCAAGGGCUUUGCCCCACACCAAAAGGAAUCUUGGUGGUGGAAUGAGGAGGUACAAACAAAGGUGAAGGCUAAGAAGGAAUGUUGUAAAGCCUUAUACAAGGAUAGGACCGAUGAAAAUGGUGAAAGGUAUAGAAAAGCGAAGCAAGAGGCGAAGAAAGCUGUGAGAGAAGCUAAGUUAGCGGCUUAUGACGAUAUGUAUAAGCGACUAGAUACCAAAGAAGGAGAGUUUGAUAUCUAUAAACUAGCUAGAGCAAGGGAAAAGAAGACAAGGGACCUAAACCAAGUGAGGUGCAUCAAGGAUGAGGAUGGAAAGGUUCUUGCUACAGAGAGAACGCGGUUAAAGACAGAUGGAAAGGUUAUUUUCAUAAUCUUUUCAAUGAAGGACAUGAAAGGAGUGCUUCUUUAGGGGAGUUGAGUAACUCAGAAGAGUGUAGAAACUACUUUUUUUAUCGUAGAAUCCGGAAGGAAGAAGUGGUUGUAGCUUUGAAGAAGAUGAAGCAUAGAAAAGCAGUAGGCCCAGACGAUAUACCAAUCGAAGUGUGGAAAGUUUUGGGAGAGACAGGUAUAACAUGGCUCACUGACCUUUUCAAUAGGAUUUUGAAAACGAAGAAGAUGCCAAAUGAGUGGCGAAUGAGCACUUUGGUGCCUAUCUACAAGAAUAAGGGCGAUGUACAAAAUUGCAUGAACUAUAGGGGUAUUAAGCUAAUGAGUCAUACAAUGAAGCUCUGGGAAGAGAGUCAUUGAGCAUAGAUUGAGGCAAGAGACACGGGUUUCGGACAACCAAUUCGGGUUCAUGCCAGGGCGCUCAACCAUGGAGGCAAUCUAUCUCUUACGAAGAUUGAUGGAAAAGAUAUAGAGAUGGGAAAAAGGAUUUACACAUGGUCUUUAUAGAUUUGGAAAAAGCGUAUGAUAGGGUCCCAAGAGACAUUCUUUGGAGGAUUUUAGAGAAGAAAGGAGUACGAGUAGCAUAUAUCCAAGCUAUACAGGAUAUGUAUGAAGGAGCAAAGACUGCCGUAAGAACUCAUGAAGGACAAACCGAAAGCUUUCCCAUAACUGUAGGAUUACAUCAAGGCUCAUCCUUAAGUCCUUACCUUUUUGCGUUGGUAAUGGAUGAGUUAACAGGACAUAUUCAAGAUGAUAUUCCUUGGUGUAUGCUUUUCGCAGACGAUAUAGUGUUGAUAGAUGAAACUCAGGAAGGGGUAAAUGCAAAGCUUAACCUUUGGAGAGAAGUGUUGGAAUCUAAAGGUCUUCGCCUAAGCCGAUCAAAGACAGAAUAUAUGGAGUGCAAGUUCAGUGCAAAUGGAGGCCAAAACGAGUUAGGGGUGAGGAUCGGAGAUCAAGAAAUACCAAAGAGCGACCGUUUUCGUUACCUAGGAUCUAUCUUGCAAAAGAACGGAGAAUUAGAUGGAGAUCUCAACCAUAGAAUACAAGCUGGAUGGAUGAAGUGGAAGAGUGCAUCCGGCGUGUUGUGUGUGACCGCCGUAUGCCACUGAAGCUCAAGGGAAAAUUUUAUAGGACGGCAAUAAGGCCGGCGAUGCUGUAUGGCACAGAAUGUUGGGCGGUGAAGCAUCAACACGUACACAAAAUGGGUGUAGCGGAGAUGAGGAUGCUUCGUUGGAUGUGUGGGCACACGAGAAAGGAUAAGAUUAGGAAUGAGGAUAUCCGGGGUAAAGUAGGAGUAGCCGAAAUUGAAGGAAAGAUGAGAGAAAAUCGGUUACGGUGGUUUGGACAUGUGCAAAGAAGGCCUACUGACGCUCCGAUUAGAAGAUGCGACUAUGGGACAGAGGUUCAGGGCCGAAGGGGUAGAGGAAGACCUAGGAAAACUUUGGAAGAGACCCUAAGAAAAGACUUAGAGUACUUGGAUCUAACGGAGGACAUGACACAGGACAGAACACAAUGGCGUUCUAAGAUUCAUAUAGCCGAUCCCACUCAGUGACUUGGAUUUUCCAAGUCUCCAACCGAGAAGUUUUCCUCACUCGGGAAAUUAAGGGAACACUACCUCAACCUACAUGCUCCACUCACAAAGCUUCAACAUACAAGCUUCAACAAAAGAAAAUUCAAAAGAACUUAGCGAAGAAGGCUUUGGUGUAUUUAACACAAUACGUUGAAAUGAAGGAAAGCUUAUUUAUUGAUAUCCCCGAUAAGUUACAAAUAUGUACAUAUACUUGAGUCAAAAUAAACAAACAAGAGGGAGCCUUCACAAAGGUUGCUUAGGAGAAGUCUCAGCAGUCGGUAGAGCCCCAGAAAGAGAAGGCACCGGAGGGGGAUCAUUCGGAGCCUCAGUACUGGACAGAACCCUAGAAGGAGGAGGCAUCAGAGGUUGAUCAUUUGGAGCUUCAUUACGCGGUACAGCCCCAGAAGACGAAGGCAAUAAAUGCCUUUGGAACAAACCCACAAAUCUCUGAUGAUCAAGUAAAACCUGACCAUCAGAUUCCUUCAUCUGGUCAAGCUUCCUCUUCAUGUUUGUAGCAUAGUCAUGUGCGAGCCGGUGCAACUGUUUAUUCUCAUGCUUGAGCCCUCUAAUCUCCUGUUUGAGACUCAUCACUUCAGCCGCCAAUGAUUCAACUUGGCGGGUUCGAGCAAAUAGGCGUUGGGCCAUAUUAGACACAGAACCUGCACACUGAACACUGAGAGCCAGAGAAUCCUUAACAGCCAACUCAUCAGACCGUUUGGAAAGUAGUCUGUUAUCUUUGGGAGUGAGAAGGUUCCUGGCCACUACCGCAGCGGUCAUAUCAUUCUUCAUCACGGAAUCCCCAACGGUAAGAGGACCAGUAGGGGAGACGAAGGAUGGGCGCCAUAUGUUGUCUGGAGAAGGCGGGGCUGCCUCUUCAACAAGGUUCAAGUCAAAACGACGGUCGGAGGGGCCAGACAUUUUCAAAGGUGUUGAAGAGAGAAGAGGUCGGACAAAUCAAGAUCUUAGAAGUGCAAGAAUGGAGCUUCUACUGGUGGAUAUUCAAGUGUGCUUUGGAACUUAAUGUCAGCCCCUAUAAAAAUCUGCACUCGACGAAGCUUCAGAAAUCGAAGAGGCGCCUGCUCAGAAAUCGAAGAGGCGUUUGCUUUCUCAAAAGCUGGGCUGCUCAGAGACCACGAGGGUCGAUCUCAGAAAUCGAAGAGGCGUUUGCUUUCUCAAAAGCUGGGCUGCUCAAAGACCACGAAGGCCGAUCUCAGAAAUCGAAGAGGCUUGCUUUCUCAAAAGCUGGGCUGCUCAGAGACCACGAGGGCCGAUCUCAGAAAUCGAAGAGGCACCUACUUUUCCAGCCUUGUCAGCACCUGUCACACGCACACUCAGCUUUGCGGAAAAUUAUGGGCAUUCUGUCGAAGAUUUCUGGCGAAGUAGAAAGCACAUGAAUCGUACUGUUCAAUCACCCACUUCCCACACGCAACAGUAGCUCAUGGGUACCACAGAUAACUUUGCCAAAGUUCUCUGACAAAGUUGAGACACGUGAAGCUUGCAGCUCCCACUACAUCGCUCUGACCAAGAAGGGUAAAAGAAUUAGCAAAGAAACAACACUAACAAAGUUUAGACACAUAAAUUUUGAAGGUCUAGCUACCAUAUUAUUACCCACAAGGGUAAAGGAACAGUACCACUGCUGGAUAAUUGGAAAGUCCCGGUGUGUCAACCUCUGUGCUUCGUGGCAAGGUAGACUAGCAAACAUGCCCAACCUUUACUCACAUUCGAGAAAACACUCCCAACAAGAUUGCUUGCUCCAAAAUCGAAGAGGCACCGCCCUCCGAAUCUCGAGAGCCAGACUCCCAACAUGAUUACUUUCUCAAAAAUCGAAGAGAGGGUAAAGGAACAGUACCACUGCUGGAUAAUUGGAAAGUCCCUGUGUGUCAACCUCUGUGCUUCGUGGCAAGGUAGACUAGCAAACAUGCCCAACCUUUACUCACAUUCGAGAAAACACUCCCAACAAGAUUGCUUGCUCCAAAAUCGAAGAGGCACCGCCCUCCGAAUCUCGAGAGCCAGACUCCCAACAUGAUUACUUUCUCAAAAAUCGAAGAGAGGGUAAAGGAACAGUACCACUGCUGGAUAAUUGGAAAGUCCCUGUGUGUCAACCUCUGUGCUUCGUGGCAAGGUAGACUAGCAAACAUGCCCAACCUUUACUCACAUUCGAGAAAACACUCCCAACAAGAUUGCUUGCUCCAAAAUCGAAGAGGCACCGCCCUCCGAAUCUCGAGAGCCAGACUCCCAACAUGAUUACUUUCUCAAAAAUCGAAGAGACACCGCUCUCCGAAUCUCGAGAGCCAGACCCCCAGCAGGAUUGCUUUCUCAAAAAUCGAAGAGGCAUCGUUCUCCGAAUCUCGAGAGCCAGAUCCCCGACAGGAUUGCUUGUUCGAAAACCGAAGAGGCACCACUUUCCCAACUUCAAGAGCUGGAUCUCCUUGGAUAAAGCUUGUCUGUAAUCUUCACACGCAACAUCAGCUUUCCAGAUACCACAGACCACUUUUUCAAAGUGCUCUGACAGAGUUAAAACAUGUGAAGCUGGCAGCUCCCACUACCGUGCUAUGACCAAGCAGGGUAAAGGAAUAGCAUUAUUACUUGAUGUUAGGGAGACUCCUAUAUAUGUCGACCUCCAUCCCCUAACGGACAGGCAGACCUGCAAAAAUGCUCAACCCUUUCCUCUUAUCUGAGAGGGCACUCCCAACGAAGCCUUUCGAAAUAUUCAGCUUUCUUUCCCCCCCCCGAUAAUACCUCUGUAAACAAGCUAUACUAGAGCAAGAAUAUCUCAUAUCAUCAGGGUUAAAAGCAAGAGUAUCCCAUAUCAUGCUUUUUUCCCUGUCUUUUCCUUUGGCCUUGUUCUUACCUGCAAGACAAGGAGAAAGAGAGCAAUCAGUCAGCACUUGGAAUCAAGCUUCCAGCCAGGAACUGACUGCCUGGAACCCCUUACCUGAUUACUUACCUGGCAUUGCUCUCGAGUACUCAUCUUCAACAUCUUAUGCUUCCAGGGAAGAUACCGCAUCUGCCUGAGGAACAGAUAGGGCAAGUGAGAAGGAUACAAGGAAGCAUGUGGAGACAAGCGUAACAGCACACGUGCCGAUACAUCCACUACUCUGUCAAAAGCAAAAGUAUCCCAUAUCAGCAGGGUCGAACGUACUCUAGAUUUGAUGGACUUGUUUUGACCCUCAAAUUCUUCAGUCGGCCUUAUACUCUGGAGGAAACCAGAAAACCCUCCAGCCCAGUUCAAGAAUAAGCCUGUGGAAAGUUACUUCUUCAAAAGCAAAAGUAUCCCAUAUCAUCUCUUCUCAUUUUUCUUCUCUUUAUCCUUCAUGCUGCCUGCAAGAUAGGGAGAAUGUGAACAAUCAGCCGGAGCUCUGAUUGCUUACCUUGUCUGUCACCUCUUUCAGCAGAUCCCCUAGCUCGGCGACUUGGGGGACUCCUACUACACAUGGUUUGUAUCGCGCUUGACCAAGCCUGAAACUACAAGUAAGCUUCAAGUGAAAUUGAUACAUUACCUUGUGCAUCUCCACCAGUUACAGAUACCACCCCUGGAUGGAGGAAGAGUACUUCCAGAGAAGAUGCCACAUCUACCUAUGAGACAGAUAAGGCAAGUCAAGACGAUACCACACUCCGGUACUUAGAAGUUUCGUGGUUACGAGAUCAUUUCUCCCACAAUAUUUCCUAAUGUCAUUUGUACUAAAUCAUUCACUUGUACUCACUAAAGGAGAGCUUGAACCUAUGUACUUGUGUAAACCCUUCACAAUUAAUGAGAACUCCUCUAUUCCGUGGACGUAGCCAAUCUGGGUGAACCACGUACAUCUUGUGUUUGCUUUCCUAUCUCUAUCCAUUUAUAUACUUAUCCACACUAAUGACCGGAGCAAUCUAGCGAAGAUCACAAAAAGUGACCGUUUUCGCUACCUAGGAUCUAUCUUGCAAGAGAACGGAGAAUUAGAUGGAGAUCUCAACCAUAGAAUACAAGCUGGAUGAUGAAGUGUAAGAGUGCAUCCGGCGUGUUGUGUGACCGUCGUAGGCCACUGAAGCUCAAGGGAAAAUUUUAUAGGACGGCAAUAAGGCCAGCGAUGUUGUAUGGCACAGAAUGUUGGGCGGUGAAGCAUCAACACGUACACAAAAUGGGUGUAGCGGAGAUGAGGAUGCUUCGUGGGAUGUAUGGGCACACGAGAAAGGAUAAGAUUGGGAAUGAGGAUAUCCGAGGUAAAGUAGGAGUAGCCAAAAUUGAAGGAAAUAUGAGAGAAAAUCGGUUCCGGUGGUUUGGACAUGUGCAAAGAAGGCCUACUAACGCUUCGGUUCGAAAAUGUGACUACGGGACAGAGGUUCAGGGCCGAAGGGGUAGAGGAAGACCUAGGAAAACUUUGGAAGAGACCCUAAGAAAAGACUUGAGUACUUGGAUCUAACGGAGGACAUGACACAAAACCGAGCGCAAUGGCGUUCUAGGAUUCAUAUAGCCGACCCCACUUAGUGGGAAAAGGCUUUGUUGUUGUUGUUGUUUGUUGUUGUAAUCUAAACAACCACUGUUCCUGGUGUUAUUACUUGAGUUGUGUACCUACAUCAAAAUGGAAUUGCAAGUCACAAAAUAUUUAUUGUUUGAUAAUAUGUUGUACUUUUCUGCGCAUAUUAACUUCCGCCUUAAUAUUUGAUUGACAGAAGUGCUUGCUUAUUAAUAUGAUCAUGGUUGCAUUCAGUCGUUCUAGUUUGGCAUGCCAUUUAGUCUAAUGCCUUAAAGAAACGUAAUUUAAGAAAUGACUGGCGAAAUCUGUGUCAGAAAAUUACUUCUGCAACGUACUUUGUUAUUACUAUAAAUUGGUUUUGUACUGACAUAUUGUUCUUUAUAUGCAUAUAUGCACCAAUCUUGCAGUCGAGCCAGAUAAGGAAUCAGCUGAACUUAACGUGCAUAAGCGAUGUUAGAAAUGGGACAUAUUCAUUGUCGGAUCCCAGCCCCUCCCGGACUCGGCAGCUAUAUGCUGAGCUUUGCAAUUGACCAUACAUGUAAAGAUUUCAGAGUUGAUAGAAUGUUGAUUGAUAUGCUUCAUUCCUGUAGUAAGUAUUCUUUCUCGUUCUUUUGUUUUUUGUUGGGUAAAAUAGUCUUGUGUAUUCACCAAGCAAUGGUUCUCAUUGUCAUUAUUCUUUUCAUUCUUUUACUGCCUUUCUACCUCUUUUCUACUAUUCAUAACAGUUGAAACCCAUACCGACAACUAUGAAAUUUACUCGCCAUGUAAAACUACUCAAACACGCAAUUUACUCACGAUACCUAAGUUUGUUGAAUGUGGGAUGUUAUGGAUCCUCUCAAUCGGACCUUUGCGUUCUACCUUCUUGGCUCUCUCUCUCUCUCAUUCUGCAAUGUUGCAAGAUGAUCGGACAUAUGUGUACUUUCUAGUUCAUCCUCUAGAGACCAACUUUGAAAAAAAAUCAACUAAAUAAAAAAUCGUUUAACCAUUUAAUUAACAUUGUAAAAAUUUCAAUAUUUAACUGAAAAACAUAGUUCAUUUAUUUAUUGGAUAACAAUUAAAUGACAAAAUAAGUGUGAAUUACUUUGGUUUUUGGCGAAGUUGGACUUUAAAGUGAGGCGUUAAUAACUGGAUAUGUCUACAGUGGUGGAAUUCUCUUGCUAGAGACUUAGUAAUUGUUACCAUUUUUAAAAAGGUUGCAUCCACAACAAGCUUUCUUGCAAUGAUACUUUAGGGGAACUAUGAGAAAAUCAGCAAUCUCAGUCCGGCCCCUCAGAUGUACAGACUCCAAAAUUUCCUUUCAUAGCUAGGGUUGCCCUGUUGGGGUAACUUUCAUAUGACACCAGCGUGACGUCUGAUGUGAGAAAAUAUUGGGUUUCAUGUAUUUGUUUUUCCAUUUUGGAUGAUUGCCAAAAUGAAUUAUGGAUGAUAAUGCUAUUAUGUAUGGUUGCCAAAAUGUUUCCAGUCAGCUUCUGGACUCAAGGUGCUUUAAUGGUCUUUGUCCUUGGCGUUCACCGAAAGUGCCAAACGACAGUUCCCAGUAGUUGAAGUAACCUAGUGACAGUUCCCAGUAGUUGAAGUAAGCUAGUGAAGUCGUCUAAAAAAACAAGCCAAAGUGGUUAUCAUUUACUUGGGCGUAUUCCUUCUCAUCUUUGAAUUUUCAAGAACCAGAAACGGUGGUGUAAGUUCCUCCUAUGAUCCUAUCCUUCUAUAAAUUCCCUUGUCGUUUAGUGGCAGUAUUCCUCCUCUGAUCCUAGGUUAGCUUUCAUACUAGGUGAAAACAACGUGACGUCUGAUGUGAGAAAAUAUUGGGUUCCAUGUAUUUGUUUUUCCAUUUUGGAUGAUUGCCAAAAUGAAUUAUGGAUGAUAAUGCUAUUAAGUAUGGUUGCCAAAUGUUUCCAGUCAGUUACAAACGCUGAUUAUUAGCUACAACAAUUUUGGAGGGACAUUGCCCAUGUCAAUAUCCAAUCUCUCAACCAAACUUGAAAUGUUUUGGGUUGACGGUAACCGAAUAUAUGGAAGCAUCCCAUCUGGGAUAGGGAACCUGGUGAGCUUGGAAUGGUUGCUUUUGGGGAAUAAUAGCUUCACAGGUAACAUCCCCUCUGACAUGGGUAAGCUCUCUAACCUUGGAGGAUUAGAAAUUUUCAUGAACAAAUUAUCAGGAAAUAUUCCGUCUUCCUUAAGAAAUUUAACCAAG